rnacentral:lncRNA from 1 species
UCUACCAUUGCUUACACCCCAAGAAACACAUCAUAUUCAUCCAUAUUGCAAUCCACAGAGCAAAACUUACGUCCCGCAUCAACCUUUCUAUUCAAGCCAACUCUCAUCCUUACACCACUUCAUUCAUCUGAGAUCCAGGCGGCAAUACGCUGUGCCAAGAAACAUGAAAUUCAAAUCAGAGUCCGGAGUGGUGGACAUGAUUAUGAGGGUCUUUCCUAUGCUUCAACAAGCCCUUUUGUCAUUGUUGAUCUUAGAAACAUUAGCUCGAUAUCAGUUGACAGGGAAAAUCGUACGGCAUGGGUUGAAGCAGGGGCAACUCUUGGCCAACUUUAUUACAAAAUCGGUGAGACAAGUAGGGAACUCGCAUUCGUUGCUGGUGCUUGUCCCACAGUAGGCGUUGUCCCACAGUAGGCGUUGGAGGACACUUCAGUGGAGGAGGCUAUAGCAUGUUGUCACGUAAAUUUGGAUUGUCAGUUGAUCAUAUUAUUGAUGCCAAAAUUAUUGACGUGAACGGCCAAAUUUUGUAUAGAAGGUCUAUGGGUGAGGAUCUAUUUUGGGCAAUCAGAGGAGGUGGUGGAGCAAGUUUUGGGAUCAUCAUUGCAUGGAAAGUAAGUCUUGUUUCUGUUCCUGAAAAGGUAACAGUUUUUAAUCUAACCAAGACAUCGGAUCAAAAUGCCACUCAGCUAGUAUUUCAGUGGCAGCACAUUGCAGACAAGAUUGAUGAAAAUUUACUAAUUAGGCUCUUCAUACCGAGUUCCACUUCUCCCCAAACUGGAAAGAAAUCCAUAGUAGUUUCAUUUACCUCUUUGUUCGUCGGUGGAAUUGAUCAGCUCCUUCCCUUGAUGCAAAAAAGCUUCCCAGAGCUGGGAUUGGCAAAAGAAGAUUGCAUUGAAAUGAGCUGGGUCGAGUCCACAGUCUACUUUGCCAACAUUCCAGGAGCCGCAUCAGUUGAGGUCCUUCUGGAUAGGAAUUCGUCCAAGUCAUAUUUCAAAGGAAAGUCAGACUAUGUAAAGAAACCAAUUUCAGUAAAAGGUCUUGAAGGAUUAUGGAAAAGGCUUUUUGCAGAAGAAGAAGAAGACAUGGGGGCACAUUUCCAGCUACAGUUUAGUCCUUAUGGAGGAAUGAUGAGUGAAAUCUCAGAAUCUGCAACACCUUUCCCUCAUAGGAGAGGGAACAUUUUCAUGAUUCAUUAUGCAGCGGCAUGGGACAAAAAAAGCAAUGCAGAAUCCAAAAGACAUGUGAAUUGGACAAGAAGAAUUUACAGCUACAUGGCUGCCUACGUAUCGAAGUCUCCAAAAGCUGCAUAUUUGAAUUAUAGGGAUCUUGACUUGGGAGUUAAUAAAAUCAAAGGCAAUACAAGCUAUAAACAAGCUAGCAUUUGGGGGACUAAAUAUUUCAACCAAAAUUUUGACAGAUUGGUGCAUGUGAAGACUAAAGUGGAUCCAAGUAAUUUCUUCAGAAAUGAGCAAAGCAUUCCACCGUUGUCAUAAUGGUGGUAGGUAGAUUGAUGGACCAAAAAAAAUAGAGUUUGUUUUUGGUUAUUUUCCUUUUCUCUCUCUUUUUUUUUAAAUGGUUCAUGGUACAAUGCGAACUAAAUAAAUAUGUUGCUUUUAGAAUAUUAAUGAUCUGUACUACACAGCAAAUCUUUUGCCGUUGCUCUAGUUUCAAUUUUCCUUGUGAACGCACAGAGGAAAUAACCUUUCUUAGUUCUGAUUAGAUUUAAAUUCGUAGUGCUGUUAUGGGUCGGUGGCAAUUUGAAAUUCUUUAUUUUAUAGGAUGUUGUUGUUUCCUUUUCCGGCUUAGAUAUUGAAUAGUUAUAAGCUUAUGAAUACUUGUUGCGUUGGUAUACAAUUUUACAAUAGUUGUAAAUGUCUUACAUAUAUAUGCAUGGUUUGAGUCCAAUUAUACUAAUAGCAUCUUAUGGUGUUCCUUUUCCGAAUAUUUGCCAACGGUCACGGCCCAACAUGCAAAUCACAUCAAUUUAGAUCAAACUAGACGUAAAACCUCGAUUCCUCUUUUAUUGUCUUUCUCUUCAAAUAGCAAAUUUAUCUAAAGAAAUUUAUGCUAUCAGUGCAUAGCCUGAACCACUCCAAGAUAGACAAAGGGUCGUCCUUUGAAAGUGGGGAUAAUUUCAGAAAUCUCUCUUGUGGGUUUUGACAAUUUUAUUGACCUUAUGGUUUGAAAAAUUAUAUUAACCUCCCUUGAGGUAAAGGUUUUGGUAACAAAAUCAAUCCAAAUAAAAAAAAAGUACUUUAAGGAGAGAGAUAAAAUUGUUAUUCCAAAAAUGUCCUUUAUGCAUGUGUAUAAGUUGUAUUAAUAAAAGGCUGAAAACAUAUUAAUAAAAGUAAGGGAAGGCAAGUGCAAAUAGUAAAGAACCAGAAAUAAGUAGUAACUAACUUUCUCUACAAAUUUGGACCAAUGAUAGGUUGUAAUUUGUUAUUAAAUUUAUGGUUAAUUCCCCCUUUAUCCUUGCCAAAUAUUAUUUUAAUUGGCGGAUGCUACUUAUAUUUGGUGUUUGGGCCUAAUCACAGGAGAUGGAGCGGAAAAAUGCUAAAAAGAGAGAUUUUCUUGCAGACAUGCUGUAAAGUCCAGAUUUUCAGGAUUGUGUGCACGUGGGAAGCUUCCAGAAAAUUGACAAAUCCGACUCCAAGUUAUGCUGAACCAAUUCUUUCUCUUUUGUUGACUAGUAGUCCGCUAGUAUUAGGAAACAAGAAACAAGGAAAUCUCGAUGGUUGCCUUAUCUUUCUCUUUUCCUUAUUCGGGUAGGAAAUUGACAAGGAUAUAGACUAGUCACUUAGAUUAGGUUUGUGACCCUUUUUUUUGUUUGGGAUCGGCCGCAAGAUAGGAGCACACUUUCUUUUCGUUCUCUUACCUUUUCAUUCGAACAUAUAUUAUAUCGUUUGAAGAAAAACAAGAUUGAUGUCAAUGAAUUCAAUCUUUUCGCGUGGAGAUUUAUCUAUGAGAUGUGACUAAAUUUCUAAUCUAGUCAAAGAUCAACUCAAUGACGCAGUCCUAAACAUCUUUGAAAUCAAACUAAUCUCAACUAGUUUCUUCAAUUUAUUAAUGUUUGUGCAUUUUUUAUUUUAAUUUCUCGAGAUUAUUUCGUUAACUGAAUGUUAAGGGCCCGAUAUUCAAAGUGACCUAAUAAUCUAUUGCCAAAUUAAUUAACUAAAUCCAUAAUUAUUUAGUUGAUUGAUAUUAGUGGUAACUAGCAUUUACACACGUUAGGGGAACGUGCAAUUUAAUUUAAAUAACCCUCUUAGUGUGUUAUUGAUUAGGGUCAGGCUUUUCUAAUUCUUAAUACAAUUAGAAAAUUAAAUUCUAUGGUCGUACUUAGGAUUAUUUCCUAGGUAGGGGUGAUCACCGGUCAUACCUUGGUCAUCAAUAAACUAAUGAAAAGUUGGCUGUCAGAACUUGUUGACGACUAUAACUGACCUGUUAAUAAAUUGAACGGGCCAUCUUUGCAUCAAUGAUCAGAUGAAUGGACUGUGUCUACGAGGUUGUAUCUUUGGCUAGAGUUUGUCUACAGUCUAUUUAAUUCCUGCUUACUUUCGUGAAUUGUUUUAUUAACUAAUUAUUUAUUUAUUUUUGUUUGAGUUGUUUAAUUGUUUCCGAUUUUAUAAAAAUCCCCCUUUCUCGAUACUCUAGAUGAAACAAAUUAUUCUCAAUUCCUGUGGAUUCGACUUUACUCACCACUAUUUGCAAAAUUUAUAUUUUUGUUGAGUAGGUUUUUAUUAUUGUACAGGCUCAACACCUGUCAAUUUUUGGCACCGUUGUCGGAGACUGGUGCCUGAUCAAAUUGUUGCUUUUUGAGUUCAUUUAUUUUGUUUCAUUUUGUUUUCAUUUUUUCUUUUUUUUCCAGCUUAUGCCUCGUUCUUCUUGUACAGAAAAUUUGGUGUAUAUUCUUGAAAUAGAGAAGAGAGCACAUAAGCUAAGGAAGGAGACCAGAGAACAAGGAGAGGAACAGUCACUUGUUGUAUCCCCAGAGGAUUUUUCAAGUGAUCAUUCGAGUGAUUUUGAAGAGGAGGAAGUUACCAUGGCCAACAAUCGAACAUUGAGGGAGUUGACUGCUCCUGACUUAACUCAGUAGACACUAUGCAUUACUUUCCCGCACUUAAAUGAAAAUACUCAUUUUGAAUUAAAAUCUGGAUUAAUUCACCUCUUAUCUUCUUUUCAUGGUCUUUCAAGUGAGGAGUCCCACAGGCAUCUACAAGAAAUUGAUGUAGUGUGCUUGAAUAUGAAGCCCCUAGAGAUUACUGAGGAAUGAAUAAAGUUGAGGGCAUUUCCUUUUUCUCUCAAGGACUCGACAAAAGACUGGUUAUACUAUCUACCCGCAGGUAGCAUCACAACUUGGAUGCAACUGAAAAAAAAGGUCUUGGAGAAAUAUUUCCCUAUCUCCUGAGCUGCAAGUCUGAGAAAUAAAAUAUGUAGUGUUAAGCAGCAACCGGGGGAGACCUUCUAUGAGUACUAGGAGAGAUUCAACAAACUGUGCACAAGAUGCUCGCAACAUCAGAUAAGUGAACAAUUAUUAAUUAAAUAUUUUUAUGAAGGUCUUUAUUUGUCUGACAGGAAUAUUAUUGACGCCGUGAGUGGCGGAGCACUGGUGAACAAAACUCCUGGAGAGACGUGGAAGUUGAUUGAGAGAAUGGCAGAGAAUUCACGACAAUUUGGCUCCUGAGAUACUCUUUCCACUCGUCGAGUGAAUGAGGUAGAAAUUUCAUCAAUUCAACAGUAGUUAUCUGAAUUGACAUCUUUUGUUCGACAAUUGGCUGUAGGAAAUACGCAGCAAGUCAAGGUAUGCGGGAUCUGUACCAAUAUAGGACACUCUACUGAUAUGUGCCAAAUGAUCCAAGAGAAAAAUGCUGAACAAGUCAGCAUGGCUGGCAACAUACCCACGCCACGGAGGCAAUAUGAUCCAUACUCCAACAUCUACAAUCCUGGUUGGAGGGAUCACUCGAACUUUAGUUAUGAUGGGAACUGACAGCAAAACUUUGGUCAAAAUAGAUAGCAAAGGUUCCAACCUUAAUACCAGCCAAAGUCUCAACCUUCAACUUCUAAUUCAGGAAGCUCUCUGGAAGAUGUGAUCAAAAGUCUAGUCACAAGUGCUGCUCAAUUUCAAUAGGAGACGAGGUCAAGCAUACAAAAUAUGAGAAACCAAGUGAGUCAAAUGGCAACCGCAAUUAACCGCCUGGAAUCUCAUGUUUUUGGAAAGUUGCCAUUUCAACCUGAAACUAACCCAAGGAAUGUAAGUGCCAUGACCCUCAGGAAUGGGAAGGAGGUUGAAGGACCCAAGUCAGUGGUCCCCAAGGAUAAGAGCGAAGAGCACAUUGAAAAAGAACUCGAGGAAAAAUGAGAGGUACAUACAAACCCUAAGGAGGUAAUUUUUUAUUAUGUUAUUAAGAAUAAAUCUAACACUUCACCUUUUCCUAGCAGGUUGGAGAAACCAAGUAAACUAGACAAAGAGAAGGAGAUCUUGGAGAUGUUUAGAAAGAUAGAAAUAAAGAUUUCUCUAUUGGAUACAAUCAAGCAAGUGCCAAGAUAUGCCAGAUGUUUGAAGGAUUUAUGCGUCAAUAAGAGAAAGUUGAAGGGAGAUGAGAGAGUAGUGGUGGGAAGAAUGUGUCUGCAGUGCUACAAAGAAAACUUCCACUCAAAUGCGAGAAUCCAGGUAUGUUCAUUAUCCCCUGUAAGAUAGAAAACACUAAAAUUAGAAAUGUCAUUCUAGAUUUAGGAGUAUCUAUAAAUGUGAUGCCAAAAACCAUUUAUGCUUCUUUAAAUUUAGGACCACUAAAAGAAACUGACAUUAUAAUUCAAUUAGCUGAUCGUACUAACAACUAUCUUGAGGGGCUAAUUGAAGAUGUUCUAGUACAAGUCAAUGAAUUAGUGUUUUCUGUCGAUUUCUAUGCUUUAGUAUGGGUGACGAACACUUCCCAAAUCCAUCCUUUAUUUUGUUAGGUUGACCUUUCUUAAGUACUACUAGUACCAAAAUUGACGUUAAUAAGGGUUCACUAACAAUGAAAUUUGAUGGAGAAGUUGUUCAUUUUAAUAUCUUUGAUGCGUUGAAAUACCCACAUGAGUCUAGUUCUAUUUUUUUGGUGAUUGCAAUUGACCAUGUAGUGCAGGAAGUAUUUAAAUUUAAUGGCAGGGAUAAAUUAGAAGUGAUCCUGACCAAAAACCUCGAGUUGGAAAUAACUUGUGAUGUGGAGUUGAAUGACGAGUUACAGUGUGUGGUUGGGGCAUUGCAGUCAUUGAUACGUACUUCAGUGAGGUAUAGGCUUACUCCUAUUUUUGUGUCUGAGACUCACUAAAAGUUAUUACCUUCUGUUGUACAGGCACUUGAGGUGGAGUUAAAAUCCCUACCAGACCAUUUGAAGUAUGCAUAUUUGGCUGAUAAGGGAACAUUAUUUGUGAUAAUCUUGCAGAGAUUAUCACCCAGUCGAGAAGAUAAGCUGGUCCAGGUGCUUAAAGACCACAAGGAAGCCAUCGAAUGGACCAUUGCUGAUAUAAAAUAAAUCAGUCUAUCCAUGUGUAUGCAUCGAAUUAGACUGGAAGAUGAUGCGACACUUGUCAGACAACCUCAAAGGAGACUGAACCCAAUGAUGAUGGUGCUAGUGAAGAAAGAGAUACUUAAACUCUUGGAUGUAGGUAUAAUUUUCACCACCUUUGACAGCUAGUGGGUUAGUCCAGUUCAAGUAGUACCCAAGAAGCCAGGAGUAACAGUGGAGGCGAACCACGAAGGAGAGGUAGUCCCAAUUCGUAAACCUACGAGUUGGUGCCAGUGCAUUGAUUACCAUAAGUUAAAUAUGGUAACCAAGAAAGACCACUUUCCCCUCCCCCUUUAUAGAUCAAAUGAUAGAAAUAUUGGCCUGUCGUGCUUAUUAUUUCUUUCUAGAUGAUUUUUCAGGUUACUUCCAAAUUGUGAUAACGCCAGAAGAUCAGGAAAAGACAACAUUUGCAUGCCCUUUUGGUAUCUUUGCUUAUCGAAAGAUGCCUUUUUGGCUAUGUAAUGCUCCCGCUACGUUUUAGAGAUACAUGGUGAGUAUAUUAUCUGAAUAUGUAGAAAAGAUAAUAGAGGUGUUCAUGGAUGAUUUUAGUGUAUAUGGAAAUAAUUUUGAUGAUUGUCUCGAUAAUUUGACUUUAAUUUUGAAAAGAUGCAUCGAAACUAAUCUAGUACUCAAUUGGGAGAAGUGUCAUUUUAUGGUUGAGUAUGAAAUAAUUUUAGGUUAUGUCGUAUCAUUUAAGAGUAUAGAAGUUGAUAAAGUUAAGAUAGAUCUUGUGUCUUCUUUACCCUACCCUGCAAGUGUGAGGGAAGUGCGUUCUUUUUUGGGAUAUGCGGGUUUUUAUCGAAGGUUUAUCAUAGAUUUCUCCAAGAUUGGAGUACCAUUGUUCAGAUUCCUAUAAAAGGACGUGGUAUUUGUGUUCGAUGAUGAGUGCAAACAAGCAUUUAACAGGUUGAAGGAGCUAUCUCCAAAUUGGGACCUCCCAUUUGAAAUCAUGCGUGACGCCAGUGAUUAUGCAGUGGGGGCGGUGUUAGGUUAGAGUGUGGAAAAAACUGUUCACGCAAUUUAUUAUACUUCAAGAAUUUUGAAUGAAGCUCAACUCAACUACUCCACCACAGAGAAAGAGCUUCUAGCUGUCUUUUUGCCUUAGAAAAAUUUAGGCCUUAUUUGUUAAGAGCUAAAAUAAUUAUUUAUUUUGACCAUGCAGCAUUGUGGUAUUUACUGACGAAAAAGGAUGCCAAAUCAAGGCUGCUCAGAUGGAUUCUACUCCUACAAGAGUUCGACUUGGAAAUAAAAGACAAGAAGGGAGUAGAAAACUUGGUGGCUGAUCAUUUGAAUCGCAUGCCAAUCAUUGAGGAGGAUUUUCCAUUGAGGGAGUCAUUUUCUAAAGAUCAACUAUUUUCUGUUAAUUCACCCCCUUCUUGGUUUGCAGAUAUUACUAACUAUUUAGUCAGUGAUAAAUUUCAUGCAGGAUGAUCUAAGGUGAAACAUGAUAAAUUGAAAAGUGAUGCUAGACACUACAUUUGAGAUGAUCAUUAUCUUUCAAAGCAAGGCGCCGAUCAAGUGAUCAGAAGAUGCGUAAGUGAAAGUGAGUUUCAUUCUAUAUUAACAUUUGGCCACUCUUUUACAUGUAAAGGUCAUUUUAGGUUGAAAAGAAUGGCUCGUAAGGUGAUAGAAAGUGGUUUCUAUUGGCCGACUCUCUUCAAAGAUGCCUACAUGUUCUGUAAGUCUUGCGAUAGAUGUCAAAGAGUGGGGAAUCUUUCUCGUAAAGAUCAAAUGUUACAAAUCCCUAUGUUUUUUUAUUGAAGUCUUUGAUUUUGGGGUAUUGAUUUCAUGGGCCCUUUUCCCUCUUCUUUCAGUUUCUUAUAUAUAUUACUUGCAGUUGAUUAUGUUUCUAAAUAGGUGGAAGCAAAAGCUACCCGAACUAAUGAUUCUAAAGUUGUUGCAAAUUUUGUGAGGCCUAAUAUUGUUGUUCAUUUUGGAAUGCCAAGGGCGAUUGUAAGUGAUAGGGGAAAGCAUUUUUGUAAUAGAACAAUUGCUGUAGUGUUCAAGAAAUAUGGUGUCCUUCAUAAGGUGUCAACUUUCUAUCAUCCUCAAACCAAUGGCUAAACAGAGGUUUCAAAUAAAGAAAUCAAACCGAUUUUGGAGAAGACGGUCCGCCCAGAUAGGAAGAAUUAGAGUGUGCGGUCAGAAGAUGCAUUAUAGGCUUACAGAAUGACUUACAAGACACUCAUUGGAAUGUCUCUUUAUAGACUAGUAUUUGGGAAGCCGUGCCAUCUUCCAGUCGAACUUGAGUACAAGGCACUUUAGGCAAUCAAGCAAUGUAACAUGUAUAUUAAGAAGGUUGGAGCUCAUAGGAAAUUACAGUUGCAAGAGUUGAAGGAAAUUAGGAAUGGAACUUACGAGAAUACUUUGAUUUACAAGGAGAAAAAUAAAAUUUUUCAUGACCAACAAACCUCUAGAAAGAUAUUCGUUAAUGGACAAAAAGUUCUUCUCUAUCAUUCAAGACUCAAACUUUUCCUCGGUAAGUUAUAUUCCCGUUGGAUUGAUCCAUUUGUAGUCACUAAUGUUUUUCAUUAUGAUGUGGUAAAGAUCCAUAGUUUGAAGACAGAUAAGAAAUUCAUGGUAAAUGAGCAUCGUCUCAAACCCGAUUAUGAAAGUUUUCUAAAUGAGAAGGUGGAGAUUGUGCACCUUGAGAAUCCCACUUAUUCGGAUUAAGAACAUUAGUCAUGUCUGGUAAAAAAAUUAAAGAAAGACGCUUAUUGGGAGACAACCAAUUCAAUUUUUAGUUCCUUUUUAUUAUUAGUUGCAUUUUAUUUAUCUUCAAUUUUUGAAUUUGGUGUGUUUAAUUUUGUUUUUGAUGUUUCAAUAGUCAGAAGCUUUCCUCCUGAUAGGAUGUACCCGCACCUUGAGAGCACGUGGUAAAACAUACAUACUCCACUCCACCAUCAGAAACGUUUCCACCAACAUAACGUGCCCACACCUAGUUGAUGGGAAAGCUCAUGUUUUAAUUUCAGCAAUUCUGAAGGACCAGAUUACAGGACGUGCCCGCGCCUUGAAGGCACGUGCUAAUAUGGAAUUAAUUAACUCUACAAUCAGAAGCGUUUGGACCAACAUGACGCGCCCAUGCUUAGAGGGCGUGUGGUAACUCGUAAUGUGCCAAUGUCAUCAUCAGAAGAGUUUCUACUAACUCGAUGUGCCCACGUUUUGUACUAGGGACGGGAAAAAAAAAAUUCCUGAAAUCCUUUUCUCUUUCCUUUUUCUUUCUCUUUCUUGCUUUUUCUUUUUCUUUUUCUUUUCUUUUUUUUUUCUUUCUUUCUUUCCUUCUCUUUUCUUUCUUUCUUUUUUUGGGCUUCUCUCUUUUCUUGCUUCUCCCUUGAAACACCUGAAACCCUCAUCCCACGCAUAUCACACUGCUGUCGCCACCUUCGCCCUAUCACUGCUCGAUCACCGUUGACGCGCAGCACCCCCGCCAUCCACAACCGUCGUGCGCACCUUUACUGCGCCAUCGUCCGUCGUUCGCUGCUUGCCGUGCUGCUGCUGUUGCUCUGCAACUACCGCAAUCUUGGGUCGACCGACACUUCAUGCCAUCGUCACCCUCACCACGGCCCUGUUGCUCUCCGCACCUUGUCACGCCACGGCAGUUCCAGCCUCUCAAUUGUUGUGGUUCCUUCAGGUUCUCUAAAACAAAAAAAGGGCGACGGGAGCACACAGAGACAUCCGUGAGUUUACUCUUUCUCUGUCUUCGGGGAUUUCAUAAUAUUUCGUUGCCUGCUAUUGUUUAGUUGUCUACAUUUCCUUUGCAAUUUGAUUAUUGGUGCUUUAGUUUUGCUGAUUAACUUGCUAGAAAUUAUGGGCCAUUAGAGUCAAUUUCUCCUUUAUGCGCACUAGGGAUAUCAUGGUUUGACAAUUACUGAUGCGGUAGUUCAUUGGUUGGAUGAUUCCUACUUUAUUUAGGGAGUAUAUUGGAGCACUAUGUAAACACUUAUCAUUUUGUUUCUUACUUUUCUUGAUUGUUGUCUUGAUGGCUAAGAAAAAGUCCACUUCCAAGACCAAAUCCCGUAAUACCAAGUCCAGUACCGCACCCCAACCCACAAUUCCCGUCAAUGGUCUUACGUACCAUCCAUUUUCUUCAGGUAAAUGGGCACGUUUAGGUAGGGACAAGUUGGUUCAUAUUUCUUCUCCUGCACACUUUGGCGACCAUUUAAAUUUUACCAGGGCCUUGAUAAACAAAGAUACUCCUUUUGCUAUGAAAGACGGAUUAUCCCCUGCAAGACCCUUGACCCCCUUACCAUGACUGACUUGGGUAUUCGGGAUGAGGUUGAAAGAAUGCUUGACCCUAUAGGGUGGCGAUUUUCUACUGAAAUUCGUUGUCCUCCUUUUGUUGAGUUGGGCCGAGAGUUUUAUGCCACUUUUGAGUUUGAUUUACCCACAGGGUAUACGGUUACUACCCCAAAUGUGGUUCGAUUUCAUUUGAUGGGUCAAGAGUUCAGACUUUCGAUUACUGAGUUUAAUUUGGCAUUUGGAUUUAUUGAUAGAGCAUUUGCCAAGUCUAGAAAGUAUGCUGAAAGUGCAUGUGAUUUUAUAGAACCAUUUUUCUCUUAUCAUACUGAGAUUUGAAAAGGCGUCUCGAUUGACGAGAACCACUACGAUCUUAGCCAGUUCAAGAGUUCUUAUCUCAAGAACCCGAGUUCCCGUUAUUAAUAUAAUCUGGAUCCCCCACACUAACCCACAACUCCGUUCAAGUAGCCCGAUCACAAAAACUCGUGCCAAGAAGAUGUGCGAAUCCCUUCAAACUCUUGUAUGCACUAUCCAAGAGAGAGUUGGAGAUGAUUUGAAGAUCAUUGAAGGCUUGGAGAAUGAAGAUACAACAAUAUACACCUUACUCCAAGUUGAAGAAUCAAAUGAAGGAUAGUUGCUUAGAAGGCCGAGGGCACUUUAGUCAUUUGAUCAUUGUUUUCGUUAUUUAUUUUUCAAUAAAUUCGGCCAUAUAACCUUCCAAGAUUGGCCGAAUAUUAGAUAGCCAUUGUUAGUCCUUAUCUCAGCCCAAAAGCCCUAGCCUAGCCGAAUUUGCUUAAGUAUUUUUAGUUCAAGUGAAUCCAAUUCACUUUAGAUUUAGUCAAGUGAAUCCAAUUCACUUUAGGUUGUCAAUUGUAUGGCUAUAUAUAGCCAAGGCAAGAGACCUUUGCAAUUAGUUUUUGCAUAAAUAGAAUUGUGAGUUUUCACUUUGCUCUUUCUAAGAGAGUUUCUUUGAAUAAUUGAGAAUCUUUCUCAAGUUAUUCAAGUGAACUUAUCAAUCAAGUAACUCCUUGGUUGUGGUGUUCCUUUACCUAUAGUUUGGUUCACUAAUUCAUUAAAUAGUGGGUUGAGAUAAUAUCAACAUUGUUCGCUACUUCGGAGAUUAGAUUGGGUCAAAUUUUCGCUGCCAAACCAUUGAUGAUUCGUUGUCUAGAUCAUGUCAAGUGAGUAUCACAUCAGUUGGUAUCAGAGCCAACUGAUGUGAUACUCACUUGACAGGAUCUAGACAACGAAUCACCAACGGUUUGGCAAUGGAAAUUUGACCCAAUCUAAUCCCCGAAGUAGCGAACAAUGUUGAUAUUAUCUCAAUCAACUAUUUAACGAAUUAGCGAACCAAACUAUAGGUAGAAGAACGCCACAACCAAAGAGUUAUUUAAUUGAUAAGUUCACUUGAAUAACUUGAGAAAAAUUCUCAAUUAUUCAAAGAAACUCUCUUGGAAAGAGCAAAGUGAAAACUCACUAUUUUAUUUAUGCAAAAACUGAUUGUAAAGGUCUCUUGCCUUGGCUAUAUAUAGCCAUACAAUUGACAACCUAAAGUGAAUUGGAUUCACUUGACUAAACCUAAAGUGAAUUGGAUUCACUUGAACUAAAAAUACUUAAGCAAAUUCGGCUAGGCUAGGGCCUUUGGACCGAGAUAAGGACUAACAAUGGCUUUCUAAUAUUCGGCCAAUCUUGGAAGGUUAUGUGGCCGAAUUUAUUGAAAAAUAAAUAACGAAAAUAAUGAUCAAAUGACUAAAGUGCCCUCGGCCUUCUAAAUAACUAUCCUUCAUUUGAUUCUUCAACUUGGAGUAAGGUGCAUAUUAUUGAAUUUUCAUUUUCUAAGCCUGCAAUGAUCUUCAAAUCGUUUCCAACUCUCUCUUGGAUAGUGCAUACAAGAAUUUGAAGGGAUUCGCACAUCUUCUUGGCACGAGUUCUUGUGAUCGGACUACUUGAACGGAGUUGUGGGCUAGUGUGGGGGAUCCGGAUCAUAUCAGUUAUGUUCAAUGCUUCCUAACCUAUAGUUACUCGAGUUGGAAAGAUAGCACAGGGACAUUUUCUAAGUUAGAAUUCUUCUUUAUUUGGUGUAUGAAAUGGAAUACUAAGGUCAAUUUGGAUUGUUGGCUAGCGUCAAAUUUAAGGCGGUCUUGGCCAAGAAGAAUAAACCACUAAUUCUUGGGUUGUAUAUCACACAUUUGGCAGUUCCUUUAGACGUUCUUGAUCUUCAUAAUCACGAUUUACAUUUGGCUUAUGACAUGGACAUUUUAGAUGUCAAUUGUCUUGAAAAGAUGGGAGUCGUGGAGGAAAUGGAUGGCAUAUUUUGAUUUGCACUUUUAGGGCCCAUUCAUGCACCAGUUUGUCGCCCCUCUACACGCACGGGCCCUUCAUCUACUUUUGGAGUUGCCGAUGACAAGGCUGACCCGUCUACUUCUGCACCUUCUCCGCCGUCAUCUUCUGAUGCUCAAUGGCGAUAUCUCCAGGCACAUGUCCACCAUAUGUAUGAGCGGGUAACCAAUAUAGCGAGUCAAGUGGCCCAGAUGUGUCCCAGAAUUUGGCGACCUACUUCCAUCAUAUGGGUUUUAUGUUACCUUACCACAUAUUCCCUACCUGCCCAAGACCCUCCUCCACACCUAUUCCCUACUUGUCCAAGACCCUCCUUCACAUUGUUCAAGAAAGUUUCUUUAUCCUAUCUCUUUUAUUUGUUUUAUUGCAUUUACUGGGGACGAUGUUUACUUCAGGUGUGGGGGAUGUGUAGUAUAGUUGGUCUUGCUCUUUUUUGGUAUUUUAAGUUCUUUUUGUUAUUUGUGAGCGUUGUUGCGAUUAUUUGGGAUUGACAAUGGUUAGUUGACUCCAAUUUUUCUAUUAUCAAGUUUUAUUGAUGAGAGCGUAUCAGGUGUGAGAUGGUGAAAUUUGAGGAAAUAUCCUUGGUGAAUAUCUGAAAUCUAGUGAGUUUUACGACUUUUAGUUAAUUCUUCUAGCCAUUGUGAAUAUUUGCUUGGCAUUCUCUUGUGAAUUGGUUCAAUUAUUAAUCUUAGUUUUCCAUGUUUGAGGAAAUAAAGCAGGUUUGUGUUGUUUUGUGCAAUUUGUAGUGCUAUUUUGUCGAUUGUUUAUGAAUAAGGUUGGCUAUACUUUGCUGGUUAUCACUACCUAGUAGCCAAAGUUCUUCACCAAAAGUGUCGACAUUUUAGUCAAAACGUAGUGAUGUCCAUGAGUCUGUGGUCUUAUAGCGAUAAGAGCUGAGUACCCGGACUUUUUCAUUUGACAGAUGUCGGAAUUCACAUCAAAAGGCUUUAAUGGCUAAAAACUAAGCCCCGGCACAUAAAAAAGUGUGUAGUCGAUUAUGUCAGCCUGCCGAUCCAUGAGUUUAAUGUUAGGAUUUUGGUUAAUAGCUGAAGCAUUUACUGAUGAAUGUUGGUCAGAUAUUCUCUCUUUUUAGAUUAGUUAGUUAUAAGUUGGAGGAGUCCAUGGUCUUGAGAGCUAAUUGGAAGGAUAUUUCUUAGAUCUUUGCCAUUGAUACUUGAUUUGUGUUUUAAUGGUAUUUUGGCAAUAGAUAAUUAGAGUGAUAGCCAUUGUUGGAUUAAAUUGCUAAACUGUCGCUUCUCAUACUUGAGUACAAGCAUGGUUUACGUGUAGGGGGAAUUUGUUAUUAAAUUUAUGAUUAAUUUCCCCUUUAUCCUUGCCAAAUAUUGUUUUAAUUGGCGGAUGCUACUUAUAUUUGGUGUUUGGGCCUAAUUACAGGAGAUGGAGCGAAAAAAAUGCUGAAAAGAGGAUUUUCUUGAAAACAGGCUGUAAAGUCCAGAUUCUCGGAAUUGUGUGCACGUGGGAAGCUUUCAGAAAAUUGACAAAUCCGGCUCCAAGUUAUGCUGAACCAAUUCUUUCUCUUUUGUUGACUAGUAGUUCACUAGUACUAGGAAACAAGAAACAAGGAGAUCACGAUGGUUGCCCUAUCUUUUUCUUUUCCUUAUUCGGUUAGGAAACUGACUAAGAUAUAUACUAGUCACUUAGAUUAGGUUUGUGACCCUUUUUUUGUUUCGGAUCGGCUGCAAGACAGGAGCACCUCUUACUUUUCCAUUCGAACAUAUAUUACAUCGUUUGAAGAAAAAAAGAUUGAUGUCAAUGAAUUCAAUCUAUUCGCAUGGAGAUUAUCUAUGAGACGUGACUAAGUUUCUAAUCUAGUCAAAGAUCAACUCAAUGACGCAGUCCUGAACAUCUGUGAGAUCAAACUAAUCUCAACUAGUUCCUUCAAUUUAUUGAUAUUUGUGCAUUCUCUAUUUUAAUUUCUUGAGAUUAUUUCGUUAACUAAAUGUCAAGGGCCCGAUAUUCAAAAUGACCUAAUAAUCUAUUGCCAGAUUAAUUAACUAAAUCUAUAAUUGUUUAGUCGAUUGAUAUUAGUGGUAACUAGAGUUUACACACGUUAGGGAAACGUACAAUCUAAUUUAAAUAACCCUCUUAGUGUGUUAUUGAUUAGGGUUAGACUUUUCUAAUUCUUAAUGCAAUUAGGAAAUUAAAUCCUAUGGUCGUACUUAAGAUUAUUUUUUGGUUAGGGGUGAUCAACGGUCGUACCUUGGCCGUCAAUAAACUAAGGAAAAGUUGGCCGUCAGAACUUGUUGACGACUAUAACUAAUUUGUUAAUGAAUUGAGUGAACCAUCUUUGCAUCAAUGAUUGGAUGAAUGGAAUGUGUCUGCGAGGUUGUAUCUUUGGUUAGAGUUUGUCUAGAAUCGAUUUAAUUCCUGCUUACUUUCAUGAAUUGUUUUAUUAACUAGUUGUUUAUUUAUUUUUGUUUGAGUUGUUUAAUUGUUCCUGACAAAUUAUAGAAGAAACAAAUUGUUUAGUCUCAGUACUCUAGAAGAAACAAAUUAUUCCUAAUCCCUGUGGAUUUGACCGUACUCACCGUUAUGUACAAAAUUUAUAUUUUUGUUUAGUAGUUUUUAUUAUUAUACAGGUUCGACACCUAUCAACCAACAACUAGUGCACUGGAUUACAACAGCUAUUUUUUCAGGUCUUUGCCAUUUUGCAUGUAAAGGCAACAAAAAGCAUUAAGGUGGAUGUUAUUUUGACUUGAAAUAGCAAAAUUUGUGGUAGGAAAAUAGUGAUUUUGUGUGGAUAUAUCAACCUGAUGGUGAAGUAUAGGUGCAUAAACUAUGGUCUCAUCAAGUUAAUGGAGGAAUCAUGAAAUUCAAAUAUUGUAACUGUAAUCACAAGGCAACUGUGAAGAUUUUUUAUAGUGAAAAAAAUCCAGAUAAAUUAUCGUUUGGUGUAUCCAUUUGUGAGAGUGAAUAAAUAUUUGGUCUAUCAAUUGGCACCAUUUUGUAAUUACAAGUUAUUGUUCUUUAUUAAAGAGAUUCCUAAUAACAAUUUUCAUUAAUCAGUUACUAACAAUUGAUUAGUACCCUAAUUACUUAAUUGUCACGUAUUAGUUUCUAAUGAGCUAUAAUAUCUCAAGGUAUAUGAGUAAUAUUUCCCUAUGUAAUGUAAGUAAUUGGACCCAUAAUUUUGCUAGGGGAUGUCAGUAUUUUUUGCAAACCUCAAGAGAGAGCAGUGCAAUGUUAGAAAUUUUAUGAGAUGUUUCUGAAAUUAUUUUGAUAAGUCUGGAUUUUGUGUGUUUUAUUAUUUAAUAUUGGUAUGUUUUAUUUAUUUUUAUAACUAAUUAACUAGGUUUCUAAUUAAUUAUGCAUUUUCUAGUUCAAAGUGUGAAAAAUUACAUUUUUAUGUGUUUAAAUAGUGAAAACUUCAUGUUUUUGUAGGUUUUAAUGAUUCAAUCAUCAAAUGGAGUGAAUUGAGAAGAUAUUUGGACGAUUUUUGAUGAUUUGAAGUGAUUAAAAGGGAUUAUGAAGCGCAAAAUGUUCAAAAGAUAAAAUGCAAUCAAGUAUAAAAGAAGAAAUGUUUGACAGUUUUAACAUCUUUUAGUAUUUCAUCUAUAUCUUGAGAUAAAAGUAUCAAAUUGAAGUGAUUUGUUAGCCAUUUUGAAGCUAAAACAUAUCUCUACAUUUUUUAUGAGAUAUCAAAAUCCAAUUCAUGCAUUUUCAUAGUCAAAAAGUCAAAAUACAGUAGGCCAUUUAUGUUAUCACAAAUUGAAAUAGGGAAUUGACCAAUCAAAGGUAUUUUGGUUAUUUCUCUGUCAAAAGAGCUCCAAAUUAGAUGAUUCUUGAUGCAUUGAAAACCUAAUUCAAAGGGGUGAAAACCUUCGUAUUUUAUACAAGUGCUACUUCAAAUUUCAUCAUUGAGAAAAUAUCAAUUGAAUUUGGAGUAAAAACAGAGCAAAGUUGGAGACUGAGUAGAAAAGUGCAAAUCUGUAGGGGUGGCAAUACGCGGGUACAAUACACUACCUUACACCUGCACAUUAACCCAGCGUAUUGAUAAGAAAGUUGUGCUACUUGCACAGCUACUUGCUCUAUUUUUUUUUACAACUUUUUACAGUUCAAUUCUAGCAAGAAUUUCGGCUAUAGCUGUAAAGAAGAGCAUGGAGACUCGUAGAAGAAUAUUUGAGGAAUCUUAAGAGUAUUUUACAUCAACUUUAACAACUCAUUUGGAGUUUUAAUUCUCUAUAAAUAGGGCCUUUAUUGAGCUUGUUAGAUAACUUUAGAAGAUUAGAGACACUACCAAAAUGUAGUCUUUAUUGGUUUUUCUUAGUUCAUUAGUAUAUCAUAGUUAGUGUAGUUUGUCCAUUUUGUACUUGUAGCUAGAUUUGGAUGAAGAAUUGAGUAAGAUGGAGGAACUCAUGUGACAAUGGUGACUUCUCUUCUAUUACUUUCUCUUUUGUAUUUGAGUUCAUAUUUAAUUAUAAUACAAGUAUGGUCUUUUCUUUCAUUCUCUUCAUGUUCAGCUAAAAUUUAUGUCUAAAGUUAUGGAUGAACUUUCUAUAUCUUGUUAGUGAUAUUUACUUGGUUAUUUGAUGAUAUUAUUUUAAUCAAAUUAUUUAUCACUUUUGCUUAUCUAAUCAUGAUUAAUUGAUAAUUAAUUGUGAUAAUCUUAAAAUGUUAAAUUUACAAUGAGAAUUGAAAUUUAACAUUAGUUCAAGGAAGUGCUAAAUCUAGAGAGUUUACUCAAGAAAGUAGAAGAGCAACUUUGUGGAUUUAGUGGCUUGUUUCAUGUAAUUUUAUAAAAAAAAAAGAACUUGUAGUUAAUUUCAUAACUACAAGAGUAGGUAUGGCUUAACUAUUAGUUGAUUCACUAUAAGAGUAAGUUUCACAUAUAUUAGAAAAUUUCAUCAUAACUAACCAAGAUAAUAACAUUCAAUUAACCAGUAAUUUCACUUGUAAGAGUAGUGAGGAAUUUCAUAAUUCUAAGAGCUUUCUAUUGUUAUUUUUAUUAUUUUCAUUCUAUGUUUAUAGUGUAGAUUUAAUCUCUUGUAUUUGUGCCAAUCUAAAUAAUAAAAGAGUUAAAAAACUAUUGAUAAUUGACAAUUUCCCUAUAGGAUUGACCCUUAAUAUUCUUUAUAUUCGAUAAACGACUUGUAUACUUGCAGAAAAUUGAGUAUUUAGGUUUUAUUAAAAUUUAGUGCAUGGUAGAAUCUCGUGAAGUUUUUUGCACCGUUGCUAGGAAAGAUUUGAUUCAAUAUCAGUGCUAAGAAUAACUUUAUUAGUUUAGAUAUUUUUACUUGUUUUUCUUAUUUUGUUUUUGUGUCAAGUGUCUUGCUUGUUAUGUUUAGUAUCUUGUUGGGUCUUUUGUUUUGUGUUUAAUGUCUUGUUUUUGUUUGUAUCUUUUAAACUAUUAUUCUUGACUAAUUUUGCUUCUAAGAUUGUUUGAAAGCAUUUUUAGAUUAUAAGGAGGAUAGUAAAUAAAUGUGGAUAAAAGCAUGAGAGAAAGAAAUUUGACAAUGGACUGCAAUUUUCAAAAUUACAACUAUGAAUGUAACCAAUGGAUGUCUGAAGGUAUGUCUUUUGAAGAUGGUUUAAGGAGUUUAAAAAUUAAACUUGAUUUUGUAACAUUAAAAGUUCAAUUGGACACCAUUAUGCAUAUAUUUGAACAAAAUAGGAAUGAUAAAGUUUUAAAUUCUAAUCAUGUGAUUUGUGACUUGUGUAGAGGUUAUCAUACAACUUAUAUAUAUAGACAAGUACAAAAUGUGGAUUAUUAUGAUAAAUUUGGGCAUUGCAAUCCUUGUUUUAAUUAAUAUGGCCCUGAUUAGGGGAAUUCUUUUGCUUAUAGUUAGGAUAAUCAAUAUGGAUAUAAUGAUUCUCUGUGUUUUUAUGAUUAUCAAUCCAAAUUUGUCUAUUUAGAUUCAAAAUCAUCUUGGGAGUUAGCCAUUAAAAGGUUAGCUAAUUCACCUUUGUCUUGAGAGUUAGUUAUUGAAAGGCUUGCUAAUUCAACUUCUGACUGUUUUGAUAAGGUUGAGGAUCGAUUAGAUAAAUUAGUUUCUCACUUUGGUAGAAUUCAAAACUAAUUACAUGUUGUGUGAAGCUAUAUCUUCUAAUAAUACUAGGGAGGGACAGCCCGCACGACGCGCGGGAAUUUGGUGCUUGUGAUUCAAGAUAAUUAAUAAUUAUUGUUUAAUAUUUUGUAGUAUAGGAACUGAAGUAUGAUGAUUUUAUCGUGUGAUUUUAAUAGAAAAAUGAUAAGUUACAUAGUGAGUCAAUAAAAAUAAUGUGCUGUAAGGCCUGGUGCAACCCAAUGAGUACAAACAAUAUCACAAUGAUGCACAAAGAUAUAUCAAAUUUAAGCACAAUAAAGAAAACUUAAUUAAAGAGAAAAGAUAAGAAAUGCAAACCAAAUAUCAAUCCAAUAGCCUCUUCAAUAGAUGGCGAUGCUAACCAAGAUGUACAAGUGAAGGCUCACUCAUUCCUCACCCCAAACACUCUUUGGUUGAGUCAAGGAGUUUUACAACUAUUCUAGUUAACGCUUAACAACCUACACUUGAAAGAUCACUCACCCAAUUAAGAACUAUUUUAUACAAAUGAGGCAACCUUCACCAAGGUUUUACCACUUCAAGUGAUAGGUUCACCUUCAGCAAGGUUUUACUCCUCCUAGAGAGUAACCUUCACUUGAGCAACCUCACAACCCAACUUCCCAACCCCUUAUACAACCAACAAAGAAUCUUUCUACUCAAAAUCUCACUUGUAAGCUUGUAUUUUGUGUUGGCAAAAGUCCCUUGUUUUCUUGUGCUUUGGAGUUUUUAUAGAAGGUGAGAAAUGGCUCCAAAAGGCUCUCCAACGAUCAAAUAUUAAAUGCUGUCAAAACUAGCCGUUGGCCUGUCGGACGUCCGAACCACCUGUCGGACGUCCGAACCCUGCGUCCAAACCACCUGUCGGACGUCCGAACCCUGCGUCCGAACGUCGUCAGAGAGUCAUCAAAUCUUUGAGAAAUUUCUCGGACGUCCGAUGCGAUCGAUGUGCGUCCGAGGCGUGUGUCCGAUCCUUCCGGACGUCCGAUGCUUCCUCACGAGCGUCCGACAGAGUUUCCUUCUUGAUGUUCUUCAUCCUUUCGGACGUCCGAUAGCUUCCUUUCGGACGUCCGACAUGAGUGCCCUAUUUUUGCUUCUUCCUUUGUGCCACAAGAAUCUGUUCUAACAAAUUGCUCACAUAAAAACAUUAGCCCAAAUCUACAUUUUGGUUUGUUAGUAAUCAAAACCAAGGAUUGAUCGACCAAGGUCAACAAUCUCCCCCUUUUUGAUGAUGACAAACAAAAUGAAGAUUUCUUUUAUCAAAUAAGUUCAAAUAAAGCUCGCCCUUAGAAAGUGCCAACAUACAAAGAAAUUUCAAUAAAUCCUACUCCCCCUUUUGGCAUCAAUCAAAAAAAAAAACAAACUCCCCCUUUAUUUUUCAAAUCAAGACCAUAUUGAAUAUCAAAAUUUUCAAUUGUACUUACAACCAUAUAGCACUUCUUGGAUCAAAUCUUCAUGAUGUACCUAAAUAUGAGAAAUUUCAUUUGGUACCCUUUCUUUAUAGGGUCCUUGGGAGUUAAUACGACAUGAUCUAGCAAUCCACAUGGAUUUCAUGCCUUUUAUCAUAUUUUUCUUUACAUAGCAAUCAUUUUGCAUAUGUCUAAAUUUGCAACAAAAGUGACACAUGAUAGAAGUAUUUUGCACAUAGGUGGAUUUAAUGCAACUAAUUUUCUUAUUUCUUAUCAUAGCAAACUUAUUUGUGCCUUGAAAAUAUUUGCUUUCUUUUGUUUGAGAAAACUUUUAUUUUUCAUUUUGGAGAAACUCGUUCAAGUCAUUAAUUCUUUUCUUUAACAAAUUUUGUUCCUCCAACAUUUUUUCAUAAAACUUUGUUUUCUCUUCCAACUUCCUUUUCAAAUUAUUUUUGCAAUCAAAAACACUUUUUUGAUUUUUUAAAUCAUCAUUUUUCAUUCUCAAACAUUUGUUUUCUUGAAAAAGUUUGGAGUUUUCUUCCAACAAAUCAUUUAUUUUUGUUUUCAAAUCUUUAUUUUUAGCAUAAGAUUUUUCUCAAACUUUUAUGCAUUUUAAUCAUAAGAAUUUUCACAUCAUCAUCUUCAUUAUCUUCAUCACAAGAAGAGUGAUAAGAACUUACCUCAUCUUCUCCAACAGCCAUUAGUGCCAUUUGGGCCAACUCUUCUUUUUCUCCUUUUGAAUUGCAUUCAUCCCAUGUAAUUUUGCAAUCUCCUCUUGAACAUCUCUUGUUGAAGAUCUUCUUGAAACUUUUGAUGUGAGGAGUUAUAUCAUUGUCCACUUCCAUGAUUUCCUUACCCAUGAAGGAUGGGUUAUCCCCCACUUGAGAUGCUUUAAAAGCUAUGCCUCUCUUAUACAUUCUUGCAUUUUCUUCCUCUUGCACUUUGAAUUUCAGCUUUAAUUCAUAAGAGGUUAGGGAAUUCACAAGAGAUUCAAUGGACAUAGAAUUUAAAUCCUUUGCCUCUUCUAUAGCAUUUAUUUUGUUUUCCCAUUCUUUUGGCAAGGCAUUCAAAAUCUUUCUAUUUUUCUCACCCAAAAAAUAUUCUUUUCCAAGCAAUUUAAGAUCUUGAAUAAUGUCACAAAAUCUACUACACAUCUUAUCAACAUUUUCAAGAGGAUGCAUUUUGAAAAAUUCAUAUUGAGAAACAAGCAAAGAUUUCUUUUGUUCUUUAAUAUCUUGGUUACCUUCAUGAAAUACACACAAUUUAUCCCAAAUAUCUUUAGCUGAUUUACAACCUUUAAUCCUACUAGAUUCAUUUACAUCUAAUGCAUUAUACAAUAUACACAUGGCCUUGGCAUUCAAAGAAAGGUAUCUCUUGUCUUUUUCAUUCAAUUCUUGUCUAGUCUUUAAUCUACUCAAAUUGGUGGUAGAGUCAACUAUUCUAGAUUCAUAAGGACCAUCUUCUACCACAUACCAUAAUUCAAUAUAAACGGAUUGUAAGAAAAUCAUCAUUCUUUGUUUUCACAUGCUAAAAUGAGAACCAUUAAACAUAGGUGGUCUAUCAAUAGAUUGCCCUUCUAAAAAAGAAACUUUUAUGGUUGCCAUGAUCUUUACUUUAAGCGGUUAAACUUGAUCAAAAGAGACCAAGCUCUGAUACCAAUUGUAAGGCCUGGUGCAACCCAAUGAGUACAAACAAUAUCACAAUGAUGCACAAAGAUAUAUCAAAUUUAAGCACAAUAAAGAAAACUUAAUUAAAGAGAAAAGAUAAGAAAUGCAAACCAAAUAUCAAUUCAAUAGUCUCUUCAAUAGAUGGCGAUGCUAACCAAGAUGUACAAGUGAAGUCUCACUCCUUCCUCACCCCAAACACUCUUUGGUUGAGCCAAGGAGUUUUACAACUAUUCUAGUUAACCCUCAACAACCUACACUUGAAAGAUCACUCACCCAAUUAAGAACUAUUUUAUACAAAUGAGGCAACCUUCACCAAGGUUUUACCACUUCAAGUGAUAGGUUCACCUUCACCAAGGUUUUACUCCUCCUAGAGAGUAACCUUCACUUGAGCAACCUCACAAUCCAACUUCCCAACCCCUUAUACAACCAACAAAGAAUCUUUCUACUCAAAAAUCUCACUUGUAAGCUUGUAUUUUGUGUUGGCAAAAGUCACUUGUCUUCUUGUGCUUUGAGGUUUUUGUAGAAGGUGAGAAAUGACUCUAAAAGGCUCUCUAACGGUCAAAUAUUAAAUGCUGUCAAAACUAGCCGUUGGCCUGUCGGACGUUCGAACCACCUGUCGGACGUCCGAACCCUGCGUCCAAACCACCUGUCGGGCGUCCAAACCACCUGUCGGACGUCCGAACCCUGCGUCCGAACGUCGUCAGAGAGUCAUCAAAUCUUUGUGAAAUUUCUCGAACGUCCGAUGCGAUCGAUGUGCGUCCGAGGCGUGCGUCCGAUCCUUCCGGACGUCCGAUGCUUCCUCACGAGCGUCCGACAGAGUUUCCUUCUUGAUGUUCUUCAUCCUUUCGGACGUCCGAUAGCUUCCUUUCGGACGUCCGACAUGAGUGCCCUGUUUUUGCUUCUUCUUUUGUGCCACAAGAAUCUGUUCUAACAAAUUGCUCACAUAAAAACAUUAGCCCAAAUCUAUAUUUUGAUUUGUUAGUCAUCAAAACCAAGGAUUGAUCGACCAAGGUCAACAUGUGCAAUAAAACAUCCUUAUCGUUAUACUGUAUAAGAAUCCGUUGUGAUCAAAGGUUAUGUUUGAAUUUCAACUGCAAAGAUAAAGGUAGUUUGAAAUUGUAAAAAUGUUUGAAGUGCAAUUGAAAAGUAUCCAAAUGUCUCUUCUAAAACUUAUCCAAGAUGAUAAAAUAUUUUAAAAUAUCAAUUGGACCCUUCAUCUCUCGAAUCUAUAUAUAUUCGUGAAAGAUCCCUCAAGUAAUGCUUCUGAUUUCUCCCUCGACUUAAGCUCAACCUGAAUUAUCAAGUCAAGUUUAUCCAUCAAUCACUUUGCGUCCAAUCUAAUCUAAAAUAAUUUUAUUUUUUACUAACUAUUUAUAUAAUUUGGUGUGUAUAACACGACUUAAUCACAUGUUUCUUACAGAGAUAAUAAUAUCCAAAAAUGAUAGAUAGAUAAGAAACUUAAGUGGUAUUUUUCAAAAUUUUGUAGAAACUAUUCAGAUUUGGUGUUUUUUGGUAGGGGCAUUUCUUUAUAAUCUCAUAAAUAAGUUCAAAUCUGCAUAAUUGUUAAAGAUUUGAAUGAAACUAUCUUGAUUAUAAAAAAUUGGUGCAAAUAAUAUUCUCUAAAUUUGAAAUUGUAGAAAAUGGUAAGUAAAAUUAGAAGAAAUUCCUCAUACGAAUUCGAAUUGCAAACUAUAGGUAGAAACUGCUUAAUGAUAUUUUUCAAUGUUUACUUGUAUAAGUAUCCAAUAUAACAUCUCUACUUAAUUGACUCGUUUGAACUAUGGAUAAUAGUUGUUUCAAUCAAAUCAAGAAACAUUAUUUAUCAUUGUACAACAUACAAUUACGAGUAAAUGAAUUAAUACAAUGCAAUCAAAAUGGUGCUGUAGUUAAAGCAUUUAAACUCAUCAAGUUCCAUUACAAAUUCUUUUACAUGGUAUAAAAAAGUAAAUUUUUGUAUUUGAAACUAUAUAAACAGUAUAAUACAAGAACGAGAUCAUAACAUGGAAAGCAAAUAGAGUGCAAAUGACAUCUUAGUACUAUGUAAGAUGAUUAAUUUUCUUUUUUAGUUUCAAUGAAGUACAAAAUUCUAAACUAAUAAAUUUUACAAUCAUAAAAUUCUCAAUUAAAAUAAACACAAGCUGAAUUUCAAAUCAUAUUACAUGGAAAAAUAACUACUUGAACCAUAACUGCUGGAAUGUAGUUAACAGAUCCCUGGAGUCAAGAAUAAUAUGAGAAAGUUCAUGAGAAAUAAGGUUAUUUGACUUAAAUAAAGAGAUAAUACCUUGGCUGAGGAGGAAAAGAUGAUAAAAUUGCUUUUCUGAUUAUUUUAGAAAGUGACAACAUUAUCUCAAAUUGUACUUUGACCAGAGACAGAAUCUCUGGGAUCUACUAAGAAAAACAAUACAAUUAGUCAGUUUUUGGAAUUAGAAGUAUCAAAAGGCAAACUAUAUGGAGUUUUUGAAUAAAUCAAUCAUCAGAAAAAAAAAACUACAAUCGAAGAAGACAAACCCAAAGAACUCACCUCAAUUUAAAGGAAACCGAAAAAGAAAAAAGGGUAUCGGCUAAACAUGGGGACAUAAAUAUGAUAAUGAUUGUUCAGAUAAUAAUUAAGUUAAUUAAUUGUAAUUAAAAAUCCAAUUAUGUAAUCAUCCAAUUAAUUCCUUAAUGAGAAAGGUUUCAGGAAAUUGGAAGGCUUUGAUGUUAGUAUAAUAAAUGAUUAAAAGGACAUUUAUGUAAUUCUAUCAAAAUACAAGCUUUAUUCAGUUGUACUUGAUACUCAACUUGAUACUAAACAUUGUAACAUACCAAACCUGCCCCUAACCUUAAAUGUCUGAAAGGUUAUAUAAGUAAUUAUAGUGAAAUUAAAGCUAUAAUGACUUGUACUCAAUGUUCCAAUUACUUUUCAAACACUUUCACAUUCUCAAAAUAGCCUCACCCCUGCGGUUGAAAUCUAGUCCUAAACUCGUUCUUAUAUAGUAUAAGGAGAUGCCAGUUGACCCUAUUGUGAAUGAUUGGAAUGUUGAAUGUGAAAGUAGAUUGUAUUUUGAUGAAAAUAAUGAAUCUAAUUUGUGUUUCAAUGAGAAAAUGUCCAUUUCGCAUGAUUGUGUCUUGGGAAUUAACUUUGAAUGUCAAGAGAUGAAAGUCAAUGAUUCAUAGUUAACCCCUCCUGAGAAGUGUUUUGAAGAAGUAGGUUCUAAACAUGUUAUUAUCCAAGAAGGUUAUAUAGAUGUCCUUUUGGAGUAUUCUCAAGUGAUGUUACUGCAGGGUAAUAUCUAUGAAACACUUGGAAUAGAUAAAUCUCUUCCAUCUCUCACAUCAUUUGAAUAUAUGACUUUUGCUGUCAAACCACUUUUUGUUCAUCCACCACGACCUAAAAUGAUGCAUUAUUCAUUAACAAAUCCUCCUUCGAAUAUGAGGUAAAAUGGUUAAACUAAUGACUAUAAAAAAGCACAUAUUGGGAGGCAACCCAAUGUUUUGUGUUAAUUUAUUUCAUUUGAGUGUUUUAGAGAGAUCAUGUGGCAAUAGAUGAAACUAUGGGGGGUUAUGUAAUUUACCCUAGUUUCAAUAACCUUUGCAAAUAGAUUGGUAUUCAUACUUGAUUUAAACUAGACAAUAUUGAUGCUAUAGCAUCUUAAUUUGAUUAAGGAGAUCCUAAUUUUCAAAUUCGUUUCACCUUGAGAAAAUAAGAUAGAACUCUUUUUUUUUUCCUUUUUGCCUUUCAUAAUUCAUCAUUCAACCGAUGACCAAGCAGGCCUAGAAAAAAAAUUCCCUGCUAUUUCGCUCGAACUGUAUAUUCAUUUCUUAAUUUUAGCAUCCCAGUCAGCACUAAAAACCAAAUGGUUAUCUGAUGAUAAACCAUGUGCUAAUUUACAAAGUAAAGACCAAAAGUACCACGAAAAGGAAUGAAGAUGACACCCAAUACGGAAACCCAAUAGCAUUAGUGUUUUAUGAAGAUCAUGUGGUAAUGGAUGAAACCAUAGGGGGUUAUAUGAUCAAGUCGUGAGAUGAACCAUAGGGGGUUAACAUGAUCAAGUUGUUAGAACCACAAUAUAAAGCAUGGGUUAAUAUGUAGUAACACAAUAAUUCAUCCAUUGUUAAAAGAGUACAUUAGUGCAAUCAAGGAUCUGUUUACCUUAGAAAACUAAUAAAAGAGUAGCACAUUAAUUUAUUACACCUUAGACAUCAAGUGGCGAAAUUCUACCAUGCAUCAAAUUUUAAUAAAAGCUAAAUACCCUAUUUUUUGCAAGUAUAUAAAUCGUUUAUCAAGUACAAGGAUAUUAGGUAUCGAUCUCACAGAGAAGUUUGUCAAUUAUCAAUGAUUUUUGAACUUUUUUAUUAUUUAGACUAUCAUAAGUACAAGUUGUUAAAUCUACAUUACAAACAUGAAAUUAAAGUAAUAAAGUUAAUAGAAAACUCCUAGAGUUAUGGAAUUCAUCACUAUUCUUGUAAGUGAAAUUAUUGGUUAAUUGAAUGUUAUCCAUCACUAUUCUUGUCGUUAUGAAAUUAACUAUAAGUUCAUUUCUUCUAUGAAAUUACAUGGAACAGACCACUAAAGUCAUAAAGAUGCACCUCUACUCUUAUGAGUAUACUUCCUAGGCAUACUACUUCUUAGAACAAGUGUCAAAUCUCGAUUCUUAUUGCAAACUUAAUACUUUAAGAUUAUCACAAUUAAUGGUUAGUUAAUCAUGAUUAGAUAAGCAAAAGUGCUAAAUAAGUUGCUUAAAAUAAUAUCAUCAAAUAACCAAUUAUAUAUUACUAACAAGAUAUAGAAAGUUUAUCUAUAACUCUAGGCAUGAACUUAGCAAAACAUGAAGAGAAUGAAAGAAAAGACCAUACAUGUAAUAUAGCUAAACAUGAACUCAAAUACAAAAGAGAAAGUGAUAGGAGAGAAGUCACCCUUAUCACAUGAGUUCCAAACUCUCCAUCUUGCUUCUUAAUUCUUUAUAUAAAUCUAAUUAUAAGUACAAGAUAAAUAAACUACGCUAACUAUACUAUACUAAUAAACUAAGAAAAAGUAGUAAAGACUACAUUUUGGUAGUGUUUCUAGCCUUUCAAAAUUGUGAAAAUAUGUUUUUAAGCUCCAAAUGAGUCAUUAAAAUUGAUGUAAAAUGCUCUUGAAAUUCCCAAAAUAUUCUUCUACAAGUCUCCAUACCUUUCUUUACAGCUGCAGUCGAAAUUCUUGCUAGAAUUGAGCUGUAAAAAGUUAUAAAAAGUCAGAUCAAGUAAUUGUGCAAGUUGUACACACAUUACAGAUUACGCACCCUUAUGGUCACGUAUUGUGGGUGAGUUUUGCCUCCCAUGCAAGUUUGCACUUUUCUUAUCAGUCUUCAACUUUGCUCUGUUUAUAUAUCAAUUUCAACUUAUAUUUUCUCAAUAAUGGAGGUCGAACUAACUCUUGUGCGAAAUAUGAAAGUUGCAGCUCUUUGAGUUAGAUUUUCAAUGUUUCAAGAAUCAUCUAAUUUGGAGAUCUGUAGACUAACAAAUGACCAAAAAACCCUUGUCUGGUCAAUCCCUUAUUUCAGCUUUUGACAAUAGAAAUAACUGACUGUAUUUCGACUUUUUGACUAGAAAAGCUCAUGAACUGGAUUUUGAUGUCUCAUAAAAAAUAUAGAACUAUAUGUUAGCUUCAAAAUGACUUAAGAAUUAUCUCAAUCUAAUAGUUUAAGCUCAAGAUAUAUCCGAAAUGUCAAAAGGUGUCAAAACUGUCAAGCAUUUCUUCUUUUAUACUUGAUUGUAUUUUAUUUUUUGAACAUUUUGCACUUCAUAUUCUCUUUAAAUCACUUCAAAUCAUCAACAACCAUCCAAAUAUUUUCUUAAUUUAUUCUAUUUGAUGAUUGAACCAUUAAAACCUACAAAAAUAUGAAAUAUUCGCCAUUUGAACACAUAGAAAUGCAAUGUUUUACACUUUGCACCGCAAAAUGCAUAAUUCACUAGAAACCUAAUUAAUUAGUUAUAAAAAUGAAUAAAACACACUUAAACACUCAAAAUGCACACUUAUCAUCAAUCAAUUCUGGUUAUUCUUAACAUGAACCAAUCUAUGAAAAUUAUUCUUGAAAUAUUUAAUCCCCCAAAUGCUUGCUUUUUGAGCUUGUAUGCCCUUGAAUAUCAUUCACUCCCAAGUCAAGAACCAUGUAAUUCAUAUAGGCAGCUUUUGGAGACUUUGAAACAUAGGUAGGCAAGUGAGGAGUGAAUUUUGAUUUGGCCCUCCAAAAUAGACCAAAGUUUUGAUUCAUCCUUUGAAAGUAAGCAACUCCAAAUUAAGUCCUCCAAACUGAAAAAUUCGUUACAAUUGAGGCCUUUUAUCAAUUCAAAUCUGGUUAUUAAAGUUCGACCAAACUUGAGUUGUAUAUUGAAAUCUUACAAAUUUUUUAGGUACUUUAAAGUAAUUAAUCUCCUUUUAAAAAGAAUAAAAUUUUUCUUCGAUCUGAUUUGAAAGAUUUAUCAUAAUGGCAGAACCUUUUCCAGAUUAGAGGAACAAUAAUUUAUCCUUUUUGGUUCAUUUAGUUGAUAGGUUAAUAGUAGUUCUGAAGUCCUUAGAAUUGGUAAUGUUUUACUUUACGACUUAAAAUUUGGUCAAACGUGAUUGAGCAAAAAUGAAUUGAUGAAAGGGUUCAUUUAAAACAAAUUUUUUAGCUCUGAAGACUUAAUUAGAACUUAUUCAAUUUACGGAUUGAAUCAACACUUUGGUUUAUUUUGGAGAACCAAAUCAGAAUUUCCCCUUUAUAAAAUUUUUGCCAACGUCUUGAUGUGUUCCACAACAACAAUCCACUUUUCCAUUUGACCAUAUGCAUGUUAGUCAUUAUCCUUGUGGAUUUCUUGAACCUACACCCUCUGCCUGAUAACAUAUAAUUUGGUUAACUUGAUGAACUCGGGAAAUGUUGAAAUGGAAAUGUACGUCGAAGAGAUAAGAUCAAUUAUUGGCCAUUUCGCACCCUAAAGUGUCGAACCCAGAAGAUUUCACCAAAAAACUAUGGUAAAUAAAUUUUAUAAAACCAAUGUACGGGGAGGCAAUUCACACUCAUAAAAGUUUUUGUGGAAGAAUGAGGCAUAAAUCAAUAAUAUAUUAUUAAUCACACAUAAUAACGAUACCCUUAACUUUUCACUCUUAUCAACUGACAAUAAUAUAUAUACUCCCUAUAUGUAAAUUGGAUAACUUGGUAAACAAGUUUUAUAACCAUAAAAUAUUUUCUAAUAAAAUACUAAUUCUUAAAUAACAAUAUUAUCAUAAUUUGACUCCAAUAGAAUUACUAGAAUUUUAACUUGACUAAAACAUUGCUAAUUUUGAACCUUGAUUUAAUAUGCCCACAUAAAGGUUUCGAGAUUAAAGAGAGUAACAAUGGUCAAAGACCGGAAGUAAUUUCAAGUGGCGCCUACAGUCACCAUUUUAACUGAAAAAAAAAUAAAUUGAUCAAAACAACAAAUUUUGAAUAAUUUUGGCUACUAUUUGUGCCAUUUUUUCUGUUUGAUUUAAUAAAAAAUAUCUAAAUAGAAAUAAAAAAAGUUAGCUUUCAUGAUCAAUCUAUUUUUGUUGAUAUCUCACAAUGUUUUAAAAAGAGUAAAACUAAUAAUAAAUGGAAAAAUGGCCAUUUUGGUCAAUUUUCUUUGGUGUUUUGACUAAUUUAGUCUCUUAUCUAUUACCAUGAUUAUUUUAGUCCAUUUUCUCUGCAAUAAAAAGCCAAUCUGGGCUAUCUAACAUAAAAUUGAACAUUUCUAAUAGAAUUAGUCCCGUGAACAGUAUGUGCACCAUUAAAAAUGAUCAUUUUGCUCCAUUAUUAUUAGAGUCAUGCCCAAUUUUUUCUUAUAUGUCACCGCAUACCCAUUGUUGCAUGUGUGCUAUUGUUUUUCUAAUUUAAUCUUUUUUCUAAAUUUCAAAGAUAGGCUUAUAGUGCACAAUACCGGCUCAAUUAAGGUUUUGUAAUUUCUCAUAAAAAGUCUUAUAUUGACUUUGUUUUGUGAAAAUGCGGGUUUAAAUUUGUGAAAUGACAAAAUUAGAUGCAACUUUAAAAAUAAUGGACCAAAACGGUCAUUUUUAGUCAUGCACAUGCAUUGCACGUGAUUAGCUUUGUUAAAAAUUUUUAAUUUUUCAUUAGAGGUCCUAGAUUUAUAUAUAUAUAUAUAUAUGUAUGUAUGUAUGUAUGUAUGUAUAUAAAGAUAAGAAACUAAAAUGGUAGAAAUGAUAGAUAGGGACUAAAUUGGAAGAGACCCCAAAGAUCAAUAAAAAAAUCCCAUAAUAAAACGGUAAUGAGUUAAAGAAAAUACCCCAUGUAUUUUGACAAAAAGAGAGAAGUAUCAGGGAUAUCCUAGAGACCAUCGCGAAGAACUCCACCUCAAAAAUUAUUAUUUCACUUUAAAAGGUGACUGGAAAAAAUGAAUAAGAAAAAAUUGCUAAUUUCAUAUAUCUCACAUAAUUACAAUUUUUUUUUUUCCAAAUUAGAUAAAAAGGCUACCAUACUUGCUUAUAAUUACCAAAUAACUGGCCUACCUUGUCACUAUUGAUUCACUCAUUGAACCUUGUAUAUAUUUGUGAUAAGAUGAAAUAAAAUAUAACAACGUAUUUUGAUGGGUUCUCAAUAUAAAUGCAAAUUUAAUCCAAAAUAUACCCGUUUGAUUGCAAGUAUACAUGUCAAAUAGUAGUUUAUAGUAUAUAUCGGGUCGAUCCCACGAGGAGCAACUAUUACAAGUAUUAAGUCCUUUACUUACUCUAUUAUUUAGACUAUAUAUCAAAUGAAAGCAAAAGAAAUAACAAUUCUUGCUAUCUAACUAUUUUAACUAAAUAACUUGCAACAUAACAAUGGAGAAAUUUUACUAAAUACUUGAAUCUAGUGAGAUAGAAUCCACUUAUAGCACCAAAGAUACAAGUGACUAGAUUUGCCUCUUGUUGCUACUCUUGUUUAACUAAAGAUUCAUUCCCAAAUUUACCAAAAUUCACUCUCAUAAUAUAGUGGUUUAGAUUAGUCUAGUUUUCUCUAUUCGCAUAGUGAAUAACUAGAUCUACUCUUUUGUUUGUCAUAAAAUGCAAAGUUAAUCUAUUUAAGUGUACCUCUAUUCCCAUGAGUUUACUCCUUAAACUCCAUUUAUGUUGUUCUAUCAUUAUUACCAAUUUUUGUUGAAUAAUAAUAACUAAAAACUUGCUAUUGGUGAUCAAGUAACAACUAAUAAGUAGGCAUAAAUGGACAAGUUAAUACAAGAUGUAACAAGUGUAAAUCAUAUUCACUAUAUAUCAAAUAGCUAUAAACUUCCUCUACUCCCUAAAUCUAGAAAUUUAGCUACUCAUGUGAAAUAAGACAAUAAAAAGCAUAACUUCAUUGCAUGCAAACAUAAUGAAUCACAAGCAAAGAGAAAGAUAGAGAAAACUAAGCCAAGGUGAUAAUCAAGCUCUCAAAUCUUCUAUAUUAAAAUGAUUGAUACAAUAAAUUUUCCAAAUUUUUCUUACAAGUUUCUAGCUAGAGAGAAUGUGAAAGUACUAAAACUAAUGUUUACCAAGAACAACCUAGAACUUCCAAGGGCUCCCUCUCUCUUCAAUGAUUCUUACAUAUGUAUUGUUAAGAGAGUCAAAAAGUGGAAAAAUGAUAUGACAUAAAUCUUCUCUUUUCUUUCCUAAGGAAUCUUGAGCAUGUGCAGUCAAAAUUCUAAGGUAAAAUUGAACUAAAAAGCAAUGUAAAAAUAGAGCAAGUUGCAGAAUAAGUUACAGAAAAAUAGGAGAGAAUACACAACCUAAGGCUGCAAAUUGAGGUCGUGUAUUGCCUUCUGGACUGAAUUCUUGAUUGUUUUUUACUCCAAUUCCUCACUAAUCAUCAUGUACAGAUGUUUGUUCAUGCAAUGCACCAUUAAUACUUGUAUUUGAUCUUCUACUUUCCGAAUUACUAUUGAAUCAAGAGCUAAUGACUUUGAAUCCAAUCCAUCUAGUUCCGACAUUGAAAGCUCACCUCAAUUCCUGCAAAUAUAACCACUUUUUGCACAUUAAGUUGCUCAAAUGAAACUUGCAAAAUUUAGAAGUUUAGGAAACAAGUUAUAUCUUAAAUCAUCCUAAAUUAUACAAAAGGCAAACACAAAAUGCUACUAAUAUCCAUAUAUAAUAAACACUUAUCAUAUUUCACAUGUUUCCCAGUAACAUAAUCUUUCUGCUGAAUUUCUUUGAGAUUGAAGUAAAAAAGUUGAUAUCUACUUCUCUAUUAUGGUACUAUUUUCAAGUUCGUGUUUUGGGAAAUAGUAUUUCGUGGCUACAAGCAAAGGAAAAAUAUGUAUUCGAGAAAAGGACAUUUGAGCUUGAUUUCUAAGAAAGGAUCUGAGAUGGACUUUUCUUUUCUUAAUAUUUUUCCUAUUGUGGGUCAUCUAAUCUUCUAGGCAUGCCCUUUUUUUUUUCUGAAACGUUAGUAGACUUGCAUUGAUCUAGAAAAUGAAUUUACAUAUCGAGCAACGGCUUGUUAAGUUGUACAACUUGUAUUCAAAAACACAGAGGAAGAGAUGCUUCCUCAUCCAACAAAAUGCCUAAGGCAUAUAAGCUAGCAUUAGCACUAGCGGUACUAUUAUCAUUCUUAUCUAAACAAAAAUAGCACAUUCGAAACAAUGGCUUUAAACAAAAUAUGUCCUCUAAGAUCAUUGUUAACCUGCCAUCCAAUGCUUUCCCAAGCAUUAUUUGUGAGAACCCUCAUUUUUUUUAAAUACAAUUUCCCCAAACUACAUGCCUUGCACCAAAAUUUAAACCACCUCUUAUAUGCCCUAACAUUAUAUUUUACAAUGUGUUACAACAAAUCUCUUAUUUUGACCCUCACUUUAAAACACAAUUUUCUUAUUUACAUGCCUUAUUAUAAGAUCUAGACCAUUUAAUAUAUGCCCUUACAAUAUAUUUCCUAUGUAUUAUAAUAAUUUCCAUGCAUUUCAUUUUAUUUGAAGUAAAAUAUUUCCUUGAGCUAGGUUAUAAAUAAUUCACCACUUGUAAUUGUCCAAGUGUUUUUUUAUUAGUGGUUGGAACUUUACAUGUAGGAUUAGAGGUGUUAAAUAUGUAUUGGUACAUUUGGAAAGGUUAGUAUGUCAUUAGUCAAAGAUUAAGAAAGAAUUGGACAAGGAUGGAGCCAAGUGGCAAAACCCUAGCCAUGGAUCUUGUUUGACCAAGGGAUUAGAAAGAAUUUAAACCAAAAUUGCCCUUUUAUUUCCUUCUUGUGGCCUACUUUCAUGAAGCUUAGAGAGGAAGAGAGAAACACCAUUUUUUCUUGCUUUCUAACCCUAGUAAAUCAAGAGCAAAAAUCAAAAGAGAAAGAACUUGAGUGGGUUGAAAAACUUCCUUUUCAUUCCUAGUGGUUGAUCCAAGCCUGAAGCUUCCAUCUUGGUGGAUUGUUUGGUGACCUAAGCAACUUGUAAGAGAGGUAAAUGACCUUUAAAUUUGGGAGCUAUGAUGUUAUAUGAUCUAUUUUAAGUUUUUAUGGUGCAAUACAAGUGUUUUGGUUGAGAUUUGGGGUUAAUUCCUUCAAUUAAACAAGUAGUAGUUAAGCUUGUUAGUAUGCCUACCAAGUGUUUGAUGAAAUGCCUAACCCUUGUUCAUGUGUGUGUAUGAAGUAUUAACAUGUUUUUGAGCCCCUUUUUAGUAGAUCUAAUACUUGUUACGUGAUUGGAGUACAAAUCAUGAAAGGUUGAAAGUUAGAAAAGUUGGGAAGAUGCGGUCCGAAAAUUUCAAGGGCUUGCUGCCCUGUUUUUCUUUGAUAAUUUCAUGCUUAAUUUGGCUACAAGUGUGAGGGAUAUAUGUUGGGUUAUGUGUGUGGAGGUUUUCUACAAAAAAUUAGCCAAUUCGGUUGGAUAAAUCUUGAGUUCUGGGCAAAAAGGAAAAACUGGACUAGGUCCAGGAAUUUUCUGACCAGUGAUCUUGUGAAGGUCAUAACGUUUUACUCAAUUAUCAGAAUUGAGUGCCAUUUGUGGCAUUUGAAAGUAGACUCUUAGAGCUUUAAAAUGGUACCAAGCUCAUUUUCUGGUUCAUCCCGACCGAUUCGUGGCGAGUCUCGAAAGUUGGCUGUCCGGUUGUUACUGUUCAUCCGAGACUGUCCAGAAAAUUCUUUUAGUUGCUUAAUUUUGAACCACUUACGUUUGGAUUUUGGAAAUGGUUUCUUCUACACUAAUAUAGCCUUGUGAACCUAGUUUCUAACAGCACCAACGGAACCUAAUUUCAACCUUUUUACAGUGAAUUAUAACCGUUUUCCCGAGACUGCCGGGCAAGACUGUUUAAUCCGAAUAAGGAACCUUCAAGUCUAAAUGAAACAUUUCUCUUGCCGAGCUUUCAUGUACACACUAAACUUAUUUUCUCAUGAACUUUUAUCAUGUUAUGGAUUCUAUUGCCUGCCGAAUUAAGUAGCCUAGAUUAAUCACUCAGUUUCUUAAUGAACCUAUACUUUAAUAAAGAACGAAUCCAAUUGUUAAUGAUUUCACCCGUUGACCUAGGUUUGGGAAACGAAUGUGAUCGUAACUGAGACGUUUGACGUCGAUUGCUACUUUUGCUUGACAGGUGAGUGUUCCACUAUCUGCUACCUGUUAUCUGAAUAUUUGAAAUACUUGAUUUAUGACUGUUGGAGCCAAAUACUGUUUUGAUAAAAUGGAGGCGAGCGUGUACUUUAUCGCACUCGACCUCACUUGUUUUCCAAUGAAGCUUUGUAUACUGUUAUUAUGAGAUGUGAUUUAUCUAUAUAUGACUAUUUUUAAGUUGUUUGGGUGAUAUCCCAUCAACUACUGCUACUAUUUGGGUACCUAACCUCUUAGGUGAGUCGGUUGUAUCGAGCCAGCAAGAGCUUGGUCGAGAAGGCCGAUAAACCUUGGGGACUGAUGUUUGGAGGUCCCUGGUGAAGUAUAGCCGUUGUGCUUGCUUGUUGUGUUAUCCAGCACCACCAGUGGUAAAAUCCUCGAUUUGAUCUUGUUUCUUUGGAAUCUUGGAUUCCAGGUAUACUCGAGUAUUAUCAAACUACUGUUUCUGGAGUGCGGGCCCGGUAGGGGGUUGAUUGGCGGACGGAGACUGGUGAAAGUGGUGUUCUACGGACCCUAUAUGCUGUGCAUACGAGUGUUGACGGAGUGUCAACAGGAGGCGAUUAUGAUCAAGUUCAAGUGGAUCUUUGGCUUUUGAAAGCCACCCGUAUCCUUGAAUUGAACUGUGAUUAAACUGUUAUUCUACUGUACGGUGUUUAUUUGGUUAUUUUGUGACCUUAUGUAGUUAUGUGUUUAUCUGCUUUAUUUGGAACCUCACUGGGCAUUAGCUCACCUCAUUCCCUUUGUUUUCCUUGACAGAUCGGGAAGGGACUUGAUCAAGGAUUUUCUUAGCUUUAUUUUGCUUGUACUUGUGUUUUGAGGUUGUAACUUUUGUUUAAGCAGACUGGUAAGCUUGUAUCCGUAAGUUCGACUUAUGCUAUGUAAUUUUGAGUAUGGAGUGGUAGUAGACAGUUAGUUAUCUAAAUACUAAGCCUGAACGUUGGAUUAAUGAUUAUGUUUCAAUCAGGGUUUCAUUCCCUUGCUUGGAAGAUAUCUCGUUCGUUUCAUCGGUGUUAUUAGUACUUUGAACGAUUGAGUCUCGGUGAGAGUUGGGCAGGCAGUCCGCUAAUACCCUAGGGUUCGCCCUAAGGAGAGGUGAGGCUGUCAGAGUUGGUAUCAGAGCCUAGACUUCAGAUCCUUGUAGUAUAUCUUAGACUUAAACAUUUGGAAUGCUGGACUGUUGGAUUGGUCUAAAAAAUUAAGUGACCACUAAAAGGGAUAAGAAUUAGAGCCUAGGGUUGAAUUGGCCUGGACGAGUUGGGUAUUUUCAACUUGAGGAUUAUAUUUGACUAUUUCUCUUUAAGAGUACUUAAGUUUUCUCUACGCCUUGUGUACGAUGGACGGAUCUAGUGGCCCUAGCAAUAGACCGGUUAGUGAACUGUCCCGUGAGGACUUACAGAUGAUUAAGUAUCAAAUCAGGCCCGGAAACGAUAGAGUCUAUUAAAGCCCAUCUAACUGCUACAGGCAUUAUGAGUGCCAUUAUACUUAUACCUACCCUAAUGAAGUAGUUCUGGCCAUAGUGAAGGAGCAGAAGGUCCUAGCGAGGGAUAAUACUAGGCUUGGAUUUGAAAUAAAUUACCUGAAGAAAACUAUUGAAAUGCAAGCUGAGCGGAUUAAGGAACUUGAGUAUGAUGUGGUCAAGGGCUGAGAAAGGGUUGAUGACCUGAGCGCGCAGCUUGGUGAAGCUCAAGAGCGCAUGGUUAAGAGAGUCAAGAAAGUGAGGAUUAGAGCAGAGUCCAUUCUGAAUAUUUGUGAUGAUCUGCUGGGAGAAGUGAGUGACGAGGCUUCUUAUAUAGGAGGUGAGAUUAGAGACGAACCCGCCUAGUUUGGGGGGUCAACUAGUCCUACGACGGAUUAAGCCUCUACUCCUAGGCUACUACCUUGGAUGAUUUUGACUAUUGCACAUAGAAAGGAUAGGGGAGGUUGUGGCUCGGUGGUUGUACAGUUUUCUUUUGACAUUUGUGCUAGGUUUUUGUUUGAUAUGACUGUACUUCUAUAUCUGUACUUUUGAGACUUGUACUUGUUACUUUUGGUCCUGUUAUCUUAUAAAUGACUGUUAAGAGCCUUUAUGUACGAUGUUUUGACUGUUGACUUAGAUUUUGACUUUUGACCAUUGACUUUUGGCUCUGACUUUUGACUGUUGACUGUUGACUUUAUUUUGACAUUGACCUUCAACUACUUUGUAAAUUCACUCGCUUAUCGUGACUCCGAUUCCAUUUCUUAUGUGACUUUUAAAUAUGAGUAAGCAUAUAUUGUUAUACCCCUAUUUGCUUACCCUGUUAGCUAUAAUACUUGGGCCCUAGACUAGUGAGUAAUAAUGGAGACUAGAUGACAAUAUGGUUGGGACCAUGGGUGUGGAUCUAGGUAAGUCCAGGACUAAGAGGAGGAAUAAAGGUCUGUAGCCAAUUAGAACCAAGGACCCGAAUGUGGAGAAGGAGACCAGGUGGCUACAACUAUCAAUCGUAUGACUGAUCUACUGUUUACUGGCCCGUUUGAUUGACCAUCGAGGUAAAGUACCGGGUAACUAGUAAAGAAACCUUGAAGUAAGUGAAAAUAGGACCCUGAAAUGGUUCCAAAGUUCUCUUCCCCUAAAUUUCUUAGAUGACCAGAUCCCGAAACUGCCGAGAAUUGAUUUGAAUGAAUGGAAGAUAUUUUUGCUGUUUCGCGUGGUCUUUGCACGGAGUGAGCUUAGAUCAAGUGGUGUUCUUGGGCGUAAGCUAUGAAACAAGACUGCUAUAAGUAUAAACCCUUUAUCAGGAUACUUGGGAGAAAUAGAUAUGUACGUCGGGUAGGAAUCUCUAAUAUGGGUGAUUUACUCUUGGGAUCGGCCGGCUCGAGUUGUGAAUUACCUUAUUGUGGAUUUUUGUACUUGAGUACCAAAAAGAGGAGAGCACUAGAAUAAGGGUCUGUAUUUUGAUUGUACUUGAGAUAAGUUUUAAUGGUAAAAAUCAAGGCGCGCAAGAUUCUAACACUUGACCUAGUUAUUGGACUGAUUGAGAGAAUGGAUCCCGAAAGGUUAUCAUGGACUAAUCUAGUAAUAGUCUGACUAGGGUUUUUAUAGACGGUGACCAAAUUGUUGUGUAUGUCGAGAAAUUUGCACUGAAGAUCUGUUUCCUUCUCUUAUGACUGUGAGGACUUGAUAAGUGCUUAUUGGAUUUUGAGGCGGUUAACUGUAACUAUAUAGGUAUUUCUACCUCUCUUGUAAUAUCUGAUACCUAUAGCUUGAUUCUCAAUGAACUACCCUUGCCUAUACUUCCUUGACACCUAUCCACUAAUGCCAAAGUAUGGACUUGGCUUAAUUAUUACCGUGUUGAGAUCGAGAGUUUUGGAAUUAUGUAUGGGAUUUGAGAAAAAGAGUUGGCUCCUAUACCUGUAUGCCAAAGCUUGAGAUAGGAUGUGGAACUUUUGACGUACAAAGUACGCUUUAGGAUUUCAUUAUGUACAUAAGCGGUAAGGAUACUCCUUGUGUUAAAAUCUCCGGAUAAGAAUAAGUGGUAUAGUGUUUCGAGAUAUUGCUCUAAAUGUACCCUACUUUCUUGUCUAUCUGAUCUGAGAAUAGUUACAUUUAGCUUCUCGUGGUUGGAUUGGAAGUGAAUGAAUUUAAAAGUUAUAUGGUUAGAACUUUCAAUUAUAAUUAGUUACUUAUUAUGCUCCUUUGAUUUGCCUGGCAAGCUAUCAUCAAGUUAAGUGGAUCGGCGAGAUGACAAAUUUGACUGAUCUGCACAAGAAAAUAGAGAUUAUUUGAAAGGAAGUAUAGUUCUAAAAGAGAUUAACUGAGCACUGGGGAUGACGAUGGGCACAAGAAUACUUGGAGAAAAAUUGAACCACUGCACCAGAACAUAGACUUGAAAAAGAAAUAUGAAGGGAUUCUAGAAGGGGUACGCAAUAAGUUUAAAUUAGUGCAUUUGCUUAGUCGAAUAGCAUCUCAAGACAUCCCUUGUCAAGUUAGCCAUUAGUGAGUGGUUGGGCAGUAUUGGAUCCUUGCCUAUGAGUCUAUUGCUAUAAUUUAGUCUUUAAGUUAGGUAAAGAUUUUCAUUUGUCGUUCCAAAGGAAUAAACUUAACGUAUAGUGUAUGGGUUUGAGAGCUAGCAAGAAUAGUAGCCAAGUUUUAACUCUUUUUUUUAUCAAGAUUAAAGUUUGUGUCACAUUCUUCACUUUGACUAAAUCAAAAAGUUGACCAAAUUGUUUUCAUUUUUCAUCUUGCUUGGCCGAACAAAUUGAGAAGAAAAACCAAAGAGAGACCUUCAACUCUUUUUCAAAUUUGUACUUGAAUCUUGAGUUUCAACCAACUAAUUUGCAAACUACUCUAUAGAAAUGAUAACUAAGGUGGAUUUCUAGGUGUUGGUGGUGUGAUUUUGGAGGAAGAAGCUCUAAGUUUUCAUCUUUCUUGAGGUUACAGGGUAACUUUGGCAAUAAACUUUCCUUUACUUUAAAUAUAUGCAAACUGGAGGUUUAGGGUUUCCAUUUUGGUUGUUUUAUGAGAAAAUAUCAUGGUUUGAAGUUGUGUUGUGAAAUUUUCAGCUUUAUGGUACUUUUCUGUCCACACAUGAUACUUAAGUGUUGGCCAUGGUUUGGUAGCCUUGCUAUGUAAAAUAUCUAACUUUUAUAUGCUAGUUUGACUUGUCUAAAGAAACUUCCAGCUUGUGAUUAGGAAUUUCAAUUUAGAGUUCAUUUUCUAACUUGAAUAGGUAAUAGUUAUAUGCUUGAUGUAGUGAGUUGUGGGCUUGAUAUUUAUAUGCUUGAAUUGAAAUAAUUUCAUGGGAAGAAUGAAGCCUUGAAUGGGAUAGAAAAAGUUAGUAAACACCGCUGAAAAUUUUUUCGCAGGGAACCUUGGAAAGUUUUACGAAAUUUUUAUAUCUUGAUGUAGAAAAGUCAAAAUUGAGUUUCAUUUUAUGUUUGAAACUAGGUUCAGAAUAUCAGUAUUGUUCUCAAUUCCUAUGAAUAUCUACGAUUUUUCAAAGUUGACUGAAACUAUAUACCUGUUCUGUCUGUUACUGGGUGAAGCAGCAACUUUAGGUUGGAAUUUUACUGACUUGUAGAUUGGAUCUUACAAUGGUACCUUCUAGAAAGUUGUAACAAUUUGAAUCCAUAUGUUGACGGUAUAAAGUUUUUAAGUUUUGUGCAUAAGAAUCUCGAGAUAUGAUUUUCAAAUGAGAUCACGUAAAACUAGAAAAUUUUUAUUUUUCCUAGGAUUAUUCCUACUUACAUUCCCAAUUUUAGGAUUGGAGUUGGUAAACUAUUUUGAGGUUGGUUUAUGAGUAGAUUGAGGCUUAAAUAAAAGGAAAAUGAGUUCCUCAAAUCAUUUUAGGUCAGACAAUUUACAACUUUGCAUUUUGAACGUCUUUUCUACUUUCUCUAAAUGUUUGGCUAUAAGUGAUACUUUUCUGCUCUAAAUGACUUUUGCAACAUCGAUUAAUAAGGACUUGAGGAUUAUUCCUCGAUUGGAACAAGCUAGUAUCAUAUUUCGAUAGGUUAUACAAGUAUAAAACUUGUAAAUUGAUACAUGUUCUAAAUAAAUAUUUGGAGUUUCAAUUCCUACAUAAUAUGGCUUUGUAUUGCUGGUCUUACUAAAACAUGUGCUCAUAGGACUCGAGAGAGUUAAAAAGGAUAUUCACCAAAAAUAUUUUGAACUACUCAGUAAUCAAGCUGAGAAUUUCGAGGGCGAAAUUCUUUAAGGGGGAGAGAGUGUGAGAACCCUCAUUUUUUUAAAAUACAAUUUUCCCAAACUACAUGCCUUGCACCAAGAUUUAAACCACCUCUUAUAUGCCAUAACAUUAUAUUUUACAAUGUGUUACAACAAAUCUCUUGUUUUGACCCUCAUUUUAAAACACAAUUUUCUUAUUUACAUGCCUUAUUAUAAGAUCUAGGCCAUUUAAUAUAUGCCAUUACAAUAUAUUUCCUAUGUAUUAUAAUAAUUUCCAUGCAUUUCAUUUUACUUGAAGUAAAAUAUUUCCUUGAGCUAGGUUGUAAAUAAUUCACCACUUGUAAUUGUCCAAGUGUUCUUUUAUUAGUGGUUGGAACUUUACAUGUAGGAUUAGAUGUGUUAAAUAUGUAUUGGUACAUUUGGAUAGGUUAGUAUGUCAUUAGUCAAAGAUUAAGAAAGAAUUGGACAAGGAUGGAGCCAAGUGGCAAAACCCUAGCCAUGGAUCUUGUUUGACCAAGGGAUUAGAAAGAAUUUAAACCAAAAUUGGCCCUUUUAUUUCCUUCUUGUGGCCUACUUUCAUGAAGCUUAGAGAGGAAGAGAGAAACUCCAUUUUUUCUUAUUUUCUAACCCUAGUAAAUCAAGAGCAAAAAUCAAAAGAGAAAGAACUUGAGUGGGUUGAAAAACUUCCUUUUCAUUCCUAGUGGUUGAUCCAAGCCUGAAGCUUCCAUCUUGGUGGAUUGUUUGGUGACCUAAGCAACUUGUAAGAGAGGUAAAUGACCUUUAAAUUUGGGGGCUAUGAUGUUAUAUCAUCUAUUUUAAGUUUUUAUGGUGAAAUACAAGUGUUUUGGUUGAGAUUUGGGGUUAAUUCCUUCAAUUAAACAAGUAGUAGUUAAACUUGUUAGUAUGCCUACCAAGUGUUUGAUGAAAUGCCUAGCCCUUGUUCAUGUGUGUGUAUGAAGUAUUAACAUGUUUUUGAGCCCCUUUUUAGUAGAUCUAAUACUUGUUAUGUGAUUGGAGUACAAAUCAUGAAAGGUUGAAAGUUAGAAAAGUUGGGGAGGUGCGGUCCGAAAAUUUCAAGGGCUUGCUGCCCUGUUUUGCUUUGAUAAUUUCAUGCUUAAUUUGGCUACAAGUAUGAGGGAUAUAUGUUGGAUUAUGUGUGUGGAGGUUGUCUACAAAAAAUUAGCCAAUUCGGUUGGAUAAAUCUUGAGUUCUGAGCAAAAAGGAAAAAUUGGACUAGGUCCAGGAAUUUUCUGACCAGUGAUCUUGUGAGGUAAUAAUGUUUUACUCAAUGAUCGGAAUUGAGUGCCGUUUGUGGCAUUUGAAAGUAGACUCUUAGAGAUUUAAAAUGGUACCAAGCUCAUUUUCUGGUUCAUCCCGAGCGAUUCGUGGUGAGUCUCGAAAGUUGGCUGUCCGGUUGUUACUGUUCAUCCUAGACUGUCCAGAAAAUUCUUUUAGUUGCUUAAUUUUGAACCACUUACGUUUGGAUUUUGAAUAUGGUUUCUUCUACACUAAUAUAGCCUUGUGAACCUAGUUUCUAACAGCACCAACGGAACCUAAUUUCAACCUUUUUACAGUGAAUUAUAACCGUUUUCCCGAGACUGCCGGGCAAGACUGUUUAAUCCGAAUAAGGAACCUUCAAGUCUAAAUGAAACAUUUCUCUUGCCGAGCUUUCAUGUACACACUAAACUUAUUUUCUCAUGAACUUUUACCAUGUUAUGGAUCCUAUUGCCUGCCAAAUUAAGUAGCCUAGACUAAUCACUCAGUUUCUUAAUGAACCUAUACUUUAAUAAAGAACGAAUCCAAUUGUUAAUGAUUUCACUUGUUGACCUAGGUUUGGGAAAAGAAUGUGAUCGUAACUGAGACGUUUGACGUUGAUUGCUACUUUUGCUUGACAGGUGAGUGUUCCACUAUCUGCUACCUGUUAUCUGAAUAUUUGAAAUACUUGAUUUAUGACUGUUGGAGCCAAAUACUGUUUUGAUAAAAUGGAGGCGAGCGUGUACUUUAUCGCACUCGACCUCACUUGUUUUCCAAUGAGGCUCUGUAUACUGUUAUUAUGAGAUGUGAUUUCUUUAUAUAUGACUGUGUUUAAGUUGUUUGGGUGAUAUCCCAUCAACUACUGCUAUUGUUUGGGUACCCAACCUCUUAGGUGAGUUGGUUGUAUCGAGCCAACAAGGGCUUGGUCGAGAAGGCCGAUAAACCUUGGGGACUGAUGUUUGGAGGUCCCUGAUGAAGUAUAGCCGUUGUGCUUGUUUAUUGUGUUGUCCAGCACCACCAGCGGUAAAAUUCUCGAUUUGAUCUUGUUUCUUUGGAAUCUUGGAUUCCUGGUAUACUCGAGUAUUACAAAACUACUGUUUAUGGAGUGCGGGCCCGGUAAGGGGUUGAUUGGUGGACGGAGACUGGUGAAAGUGGUGUUCUACGGACCCUAUAUGCUGUACAUAUGAGUGUUGACGGAGUGUCAACAGGAGGCAAUUAUGAUCAAGCUCAAGUGGAUCUUUGGCUUUUGAAAGCCACCCGUAUCCUUAAAUUGAACUGUGAUUAAACGGUUAUUCUACUGUACGGUGUUUAUUUGGUUAUUUUGUGACCUUAUGUGGCUAUGUGUUUAUUUGCUUUAUUUGGAAUCUCACUGGGCGUUAGCUCACCCCAUUCCCUUUGUUUUCCUGAACAGAUCGGGAAGGGACUUGAUCAAGGGCUUUCUUAGCUUUAUUUUGCUUGUACUUGUGUUUUGAGGUUGUAACUUUUGUUUAGCCGACUGGUAAGCUUGUAUCCGUAAGUUCGACUUAUGCUAUGUAAUUUUGAGUAUGGAGUGGUAGUAGACAAUUAAUUAUCUAAAUACUAAACCUGAACAUUGGAUUAAUGAUUAUCUUUCAAUCAGGGUUUCAUUCCCUUGCUUGGAAGAUAUCUCAUUCGUUUCAUCGGUUUUAUUAGUACUUUGAAUGACUAAGUCCCGGCGAGAGUUGGGCAGACAGUCCGCUGAUACCCUAGGGUUCGCCCUAGGGAGAGGUGGGGCAGUCACAUUAUUUGUCUCAACGCUUCUUUGUUUUGGACCCUUACUUUGAUGUUACGCCAUCCCCUUUGCAGCGCUUUGCACAAUACUAAUCUGAUUGCUACAACCGCGUCUGUGUUUUUGUUUCCGUGACUUCUGUCCUUUAGUGCCCAGGAUUCUAUUGUGUCAUGUGACCUCGUCUUGAUCUCGACCCCAAUACCUACCAUAGCAGGCCUGAGUAGGGUAGUUGUUGUCACUGUCAUACUUUUCAAGUUCUGGUCCUCUUGUGCUUCAUUUCCAACCUCCAGGUCUAGCAUUGUUUCUGCUGUACUCAAAUCAGCUUCGCGCCUUCUUACAUCCUCCAUUUCAAAUCAGCUUCCAGGCAUGCCCACUUCUAAGAAAUUGCAUCUGGAAUUUUUGAUUGUUCUCUUCCUGUGAAAUUCUUGACUUGGGGAAUUCAUUACCAGAGCUUAAGCUUUAAUUUCAAAACUGAACAACAUUCACUAGCUUCUACAUUUACAUGAUCAAUCAAACUAAAAGUACAUGAAGUUAGGAUGAAUUGACUGCUAUGCUAUGCCAUUCAACAUUGAAUUUAUAAACAUAAUCUAAUUGCUUUAAUUGUUUAGAUUGUUUAAAAAACAUUUGGGUUUGUAAUUUAUCAGUUAUCUGAAUAUAUUUUAAAUACUAGAAUAAUUGGUGAUUUACAAGUUUAAAUAUCUCCUAAAAAAAUUCUAAACAAUUAGAAGAAUUUGAAAUGAUUUUAAAUUUUUCGUCAAAUCUCUCAAUCCAAACGCAGUGAUAAUAUAUUAAUACAAAUAAACUACUCUACCUAUACUAUAUUAAUGAACUAAGAAAAACUAGUGAAGACUAUAUUUUUGAUGAGUUUCUCUAGCCUUCCAAAGUUGUGAAAAUGUUCUCCAAAGGCCUCUAUUUAUAGAGGAAUUCAAAAGUCAAAUGAGUUGUUAAAGUUGUCAUUUUUGACUCUUGAAUCUUCCAUGAGUUGUCUUUCUAAUUUUCCAACCUUUUCUUGAUCAGAUACAACCGAGAUUGACAGCUGGAAUUGAGUUGGAAAAAUUGUGUGAAAGCAAGGCAAGUUGAUGAGCAAGUUGCAGAAAACAGGUGAGAAUACACGACUACAUCAAUACGCAGCUUCAACUUGCGUAUUGUAUAGUCGCCUUUUGAGUUCUGCGUAGUUCAACUGCUAUUUUCUCGAUGAUGGAGACUGAAAUAACUCUUGUGCAAAACAUGAAAGUUGUAGCUCUUUGAGUUAUCUUUCCAAUGCUUAAGAAUCAUCCUAUUUGGAGCUCUGUGGACCGUGAUAUGACUGAAAUACAAAAGACUGGUUAGAGCUCUGUUCCAGCUUACGACCACAUAAUUGCACUUCUAUAUUUUGACUUUUCGACAUUGAAAACGACUGAACUAAACUUUGAUGUCUCAUAACAAAGGUAGAUCUAUCUCUUAGCCUUAAAAUGGUAUAAGAGUCGUCUCCAUCCGAUGCUUGUAGCUCAAGAUAUAGCCGAAAUACGAAAAUGUGUUAAAGCUGUGAAACUUGCUUCCUUUGUUCUUGAUUGCAUAUCCUCUUUUGCACUUCAUAUUCUCUUUUUAUCACUUUAAACCAUCAUCAAUCAUCCAAAUAUGUUCUCAAAUCAUGCAUUUGAUGAUUGAAUUUUUAAACCUAUAAAAACAUGAAGUUUUCAGCAUAAAAAUGCAAUUUUUACCCUUUAAACCACAAAAUAUAUAUUUUCACUAGAAACUUAGUUUAUUAGCUAUAAAUGUAGUUAAAACACACCAAAACUAAACAAUAAAACACAUAAAAUAUCUACUUGUCACUUUAAUUGUUUAAAUUGCUUAAAAAACAUUUGGGUUUGUAAUUUAUCAAUUAUCUAAAUAUAUUUUAAACACUAGAACAAUUGGUGAUUUUCAAGUCUAUAUAUCUCCCGAGAAAUCUAAACUAUUAGAGAAAUUUGAGAUGAUUUCAAAUCUUUCAUAAAUCCCUCAAUCCAAAUGUGUCAUAACAUAUUAACACAAAGAAAUCAUUCGCUAUAUCAGGAUAACACGCAACAUAGCAAUACUUUUUUAAAAUGUGUUACAGAAAAUUUUCAUUUCUGGGCAUUUAUGAUCUUGUAAAUGUAUCUUGGAGAACUGGUUCUUAAGAAAAAUAUAGAGCAAAUUAUCCUAAUGGCCACUAAACUUUUAGAAUUAUCGAGUUUUGGUCAUUGAACUAAUAAAAGUUUGAUUUUGGCCACUGAACUAUCUAACAUUUAGAUUUUAGGCCAUUUCGUUAGAUUUGGUCGUUAACUAUGCCAGAUUUGAGUGUCCACACGAUUCACGAGACAAAAGAAAGAGACAUAGUUAAUUAUUAAAUCUGACGGAUAACCUGAAAUCUAAAAUUUAAAUAGAUAAAUAGCCAAAAUUAGACAUUUAAUAGUUCAGUUGUCAAAACUCGAUAAUUUCAAAAAUUUGGUGGCCAUCUUGAUAAUUUCUUAAAAAUCUGUAAAAAACACCAUAGCCCAAUUUAGUUUUAUCCAUAGUUAUUAUACCCAACCCGCCCCGACGGUUGAAUCGGUUAAAUAGAUGAACCAGCCAUGGAACUGGAUCGAUUUAGCAAUUGGAUCGGAGUUGUAGAUGACUCGCUUUGAACUGUUUAACCCGGACGGUCGAACCGAUGACCCGCUAAAUCCUGCAAUUUUUUAUGAACCCAGCGGAUUUAUGAAAUUUUUCUAAAAUUACCUUUUUAUCCAAAUUUUUAAUUUGACCAAUCACACCAGUAUGGGCAUUGUUGUGUUUUUGACAAUUAGAUGAGAAAAAUUGAAAAUGAAUUUGGGGAUUAGGGUUUCUUUCUUUCUUUGACACUUAAAUUUAUCAUUUACGUUUAGGGAUAAUUGCAAAAACCUCUCCUGAAGUUUCUGACAUUUGCACUGACCUCCCCUGUGGUUUGAAAAAUUACACUGACCUCCCUUGAGGUUACUAAUCCCUUGCAAAUUCAGUUCAAAUGAUUAAAAUAUUGUUUUAGGGUGUGAAAUUAGAAUUUUGUACCAAAUUUGUCAUUUCUACUACAUGUCCAAUGAAUGGCAAAGUAUUACAAAUCAAUUAACAAUUAAUAAACUUUAAGGAGUAUAGUUUAUAGGCAAAUACAUAUUACCUAUUUAAAGUACCAGUUUUUUAUGGGAAUUUUACUUUCAAACAUUUAAUUUUACUCUCAGGAGAGGUUUCUGCAAUUAUCCCUUAUGUUUAUGUAUAAUAUCAAUAUGAAUCCAUGAAACACAUAUGGAUAUAACUUGUGUAUGAACUAUGAAAUAUGAAUAGGUUAUAACUUGUUAACAUUUAAAAAUUUAUGUAUUUAUAUUAUAAUUUAUAUAUUUAUUUAGUUAUAUUUAUAUUUUUAUUAUAUAAUAUGACCCGACGGUUCAAUCAUUGACCCGUUGGUUGAACUACUGACCUAGCAACCUCAUCCUCCUACCAGAUUGAUGCCCAAAUUGAUUUUAAUAACUAUGAUUUAUUAAAGAAUUCAAUACUUUGGACUCGGUUCUCCUCAUUUGGUGGCCCACAAAACAAAAGCCCGUUGGUUGAUCAAAUCAACUUGAGGUGAAGCAAACCUAGUGGCUAGUCUCUUGACUAGUACUAGAGCCACGUGUUUCGUUUCCUUCCGUUUCUUUUUUAUCCAAACCAGAUAAAAGGGCUACCACACUUGCUUACAAUUACCAAAUAACUGGCCUACCCUGUCACUAUUCAUUCGCUCGUUGAACCUUGUACAUAUUUAUGAUAAGAUGAAUAAAAUAUAACAGCCUAUUUCACACAUGUUUCCCAGUAACGUAAUCUAUUGGCUGAAUUUCUUAGAGAUUGAAGUGAAAAAGUUGAUAUCGACUUCUCUGUUAUGGUACUAUUUUCAAGCUCGUGUAUUGGGAAAUGGUAUUUUGCGGCCGCAAGCAAAGGAAAAAUAUGUAUUCGAGAAAAGGACAUGUCAGCUUGAUCUCUAAGAAAGGAUAUGAGAUGGACUUUUCUUUGUUUAAUAUUUUUCCCCUUGUGGGUCAUCUAAUCUUCCAGGCAUGCCCACUUCUAAGAAAUUACAUCUGGAAUUUUUGCUUGUUCUCUUCCUGUGAAAUUCUUGACCUGGGGAAUUCAUUACCAGAGCUUAAUCUUUAAUUUCAAAACUAAACAAGAUUCACUAGCUUCUACAUUUAAGUAAUCAACCAAACUAAAAGUACAUGAAGUUACGAGGAAUUGACUGCUAUGCCAUGCUAUUCAGCAUUGAAUUUAUAAACAUAAUCUAAUUGCUUUAAUUGUUUAGAUUGUUUAAAAAACAUUUAGGUUUGUAAUUUAUCAGUUAUCUGAAUAUUUUUUAAAUACUAGAAUAAUUGGUGAUUUACAAGUUUAAAUAUCUCCUAAAAAAAUUCUAAACAAUUAGAAGAAUUGGAAAUGAUUUUAAAUUUUUCGUAAAAUCUCUCGAUCCAAACGCGGUGAUAAUAUAUUAAUGCAAAGAAAUCAUUCAGUCAGUGCAUUGCAUCUGGCUACUGGAACCAGCUUCCUUUGUCGGCUUACGAAUUGAAAAUAUCGGGCACUUGUUUUGAUUGUUCCAUUGUCUCCCAUGCCUUGUAUAAGGACAAUAACAACAACAACAACAACCGAUAAAAUACUAAAUAAACGAGAUAGAAAACGUGUUAUGGAAAAUUUAAUACCGUAAGAACCAAAGCCUCCUUAAGAAAAUUCUAUAAAUAGCACUCUAGCCCAAUUCAGUUUUAUCAAAGAAUUCAAUACAAAGAAAAAUGGUGACUUCCGGCAGUUCAUUGUUUUCUCAUCUCUCAUUUCUCAUACUUGCAUUAGCCAUCCUACAGGCUGACGCAUCAAGAAUUCAUGAUGAUUAUCUUAAAUGCCUACAAUCUCAAAACUCAAACUCCGUAUCUACCAUUGCUUAUACCCCAAGAAACACAUCAUAUUCAUCCAUAUUGCAAUCCACGGAGCAAAACUUACGUCCCGCAUCAACCUCUCUAUUCAAGCCAACUCUCAUCCUUACACCACUUCAUUCAUCCCAGAUCCAGGCGGCAAUACGCUGUGCCAGGAAACAUGAAAUUCAAAUCAGAGUCCGGAGUGGUGGACAUGAUUAUGAG